UACGGGGAGACCUAAAUCGUGACUCAAUUUGCCCUUUUAUAGAGGGAAUACAAGCGUGCUAAGGCUUAGAAAAAGCCACACUCGUCUAUAUCCCAUAUUUAAGGGGACUCUCAAGCAAAUGAACCCUAUAACUAGCAUGAAAUGCAAAAAUCCUAAAAUGGAGGGAAAAGGGGUUCGAGGGGCAUGCAAAAUGAUAAAACUAAAAGAAUGCAUGACAUGUAAUGAACAUGCAAACAUGUACUAACGAGGGGAAAUCCCUAAGGGUCUAGCGUUGGACUAGCCCAUUCUAUGAAUUCCGACUAGCGUUGGACUAGUGGAAACGUACAUUCAUCCAUCACAUUCAUUCAGGCUAUGGAAAGCGAGUAGACAUGCCAAACACUUAUAAACACAUAGCACAUAACAUUUAGCAUGCUCGACUAGAUGCAAGACCCUAACAAAGCAAAUUAACACGUAGUAACUAAGCGUGCAAGACACAUAAGACAAUUAAAGCCCUAACUAUUACAUUUGCUAGCUAGGCACAUGACUUCGAUAGGUCUUCAUUGAAAGCUCCUCCAAGCCCUAUCUAUUACAUUAGGGAGACCCUACUACAAUCUAAAAGGGGGAAAAGGAAUAAAAUAAUUAAAUCCCUAACUAUUACAACUUUGGCAUUCAAGUGCCUUUCAAAUGAUCAAAUUGAACUAAAAUAAAUGUACAAAACCCAUAAAGUAAAUAAAUAAAUGAAAUGAAUAAAACACCCAAGAGGCAUACAAUCAAACAUGUGAAGGCACAUAAGGCACGUAUAGUCAAAUAAAGCAAGAAAUAAGGGAUUAGGGUGUACCUCCCCUUGAAUUGAGGCUCCAAUGGAGUAAAACCACUUAUUUACCCUCCAAAAUAAUAAACGAGUCAAGGCAUCGCUUUAUUUAACAAAUAAUCAUAAAAAAUAAAAUGGUAAACUUGAAAUUGAAUCAAUUGAAUCAUGUAAGCAACUCACAUUCAAGAAGUCAAAAAGAAGAAAGGACUUGAUUGCACAAAUUAACAAAGUUUGGAGGUCAAAAUUAAAGAAAAAUAAAGUUUAGGGACCCAUUUGCAAUUAAACCUGGGACCCAAUUGAAAGAAGUUGAAAAUGUCCAGGGCCACAGUAUAAUUAAGGAGAAAUUCAGGGACUGAUUUGCAAAAUCAUUUUCUGAUUUCUUAAUGGACCAAACCAUUGGGCCAUUUUUCUUAUUUGCUUGGGCCAAAGCUUCCCAACCCAACGGAAAUCCAAAAACAAAAGGGGAAUGGGCCAUUUUAUUAUAUUGACUCAAAGAAUAAUCCAACAAACUGAUGGGCCUCAGCCAAAUGAACAUCUAACCCAAAUCCAAGCAAAAACACCUCUUACCCAAAAGAAAUCCAAUUUCCUUAAACCCAACAUAAUGAAGUCCACAAAAAAUUAUUAAGCCACAACUAUAAUCUAAAAAAAACAAGAAAAUAAUCAAGCUAAAAAACUACUUAUGCAUAUUAAAAGAUGAUUAAGACGUAAAAGGAAGAAACAAGUUCACUUUUUCCAAUUUUCUAGGUCAUAUUAGAACAAGAGGGAAGAUUUAGGGGUUUCAACACAACAAAAACAAGGAUCUGAUUGAAAGAAUUAUGAACAUUUUUGGGGUCAAAUUAUGAAGCUCUAAAAUUCUGGGGUUAAACCACAAGACAAGGAGAAUAAGCAUCAGUUUCCAUUUUCGUCGAGCUCAUACAAGCAAUCAUCGUUCGGUCAUUUUAACAAACAGGUUGAGGGCGUUAGAAUUUCAUCAAAUUUUUGCUUGAAUUGAAGUUAAUCAAAACUCCAGAAAUUGUUCAACAAAUCAAGAAAUUUCAGUCCAUAAGGUUCGGACAAUCUAAAACUAUGGACAGCCAAUUAAACAUCAACUUCAAGCAAACACAGAACUUCAGCAACCCAAAGCGGCAAAUUCUUAUGCCGAUCUCAACCCGAACAUCAAACAUCAAGUUUUUCCUCCCAAAUACAAACAUUAGGUAAUGAAACAUGCGGCAAAACCCAAACAAAUGACUAGACAUGAUGAAAAACAUCUCAAUGGAAGGCGUAUCAAAUAAGCUAACAUCAAUUAAUAUUAUCAUUUCAGCUUUCUUUCCAAUCAGAGCAAUAUCAACAAUUCAGUCUCAACUCUAGCUAUUCCCUCUCAUAACAGCAGUUUGAUACGUAGGGAAGGACAAGGCAAUGAAAACAGAAAUGACACCAAAAUAAGCACACAAGAAAACCUCAAAAAAAAAAGUAAAACUCUGCCUUCUACCAUUGCUGACCAUAUCAUUUUCCUUUUACGCAAGAUGUAAGCAAGUCAUCUUUUAAUUAGAACUUUCAAUCAGACAUUUCAUCCAACAUCUACUGGGCUUUAAACGUCAUCAAUUCUGAGCUCAAAUGAGGUUAUAAUCAAUCCAGAAAUUGUCGGCAACCCAAGGAAAUUCAGUCCGAUCAGCAUACAAGCAUACGUAUUCAGAAGUUUAGGCAAAUUGACAGGGGAUUUGCACCAAAACAACGCCACGGCAGACCCAUUUCAGAAGUUUGAGAGAAACUGAAAUUUAGAGAGGAUAACUUACAGGGCUCUUAAUUUCUAAAGCCGAAUUGAAUCUAGAGGGGGGGUGGCGCUGAUGGUAGAUGACUCUGUGGAGAUGGCAGUAGAAGCCCCUACUGCUUCGAUGGCUACGGUGCCAGCGACGGCAGUGGGAGUUGAAGGGUGGCGAUGGCGGACAGCAACAUCGGCGGAUGAGGACUGAUGGCGGCCUGGGCUAACGGCGUGAGGAAAGGAGGAGAUCUGGAGUAAGCGGCGGCAUACGAAAGGAACAGGGGCAGUCUCUUCUUCUUGUUGUUUCCCUCUUAGCGGAAGCCCUCUGUUUCCUUUGCUUGUUUCUUCCGCAGCCUUCUUUUAGUCUCUCCCCCGAAACCUUCCUCUCAAAAACUCCCCUGCUUUUCUUUUCAUUCCCUUACCCCCUGUUUUUCUCAGCCUUUUCGUUCACCGAAGCCCUUUUGUUUUUCUCUUUCGCGGCCCUUUUCAGCCGUCACUCUCAUCCUUUUUUUUCUUCCCAGACUUCCGCCGAAGCUCCUCCCUUCCAUUUUCCAGUUUUUCUUCUUCUCGUUCUAUUUCCCAACCCCAAAGCCCCCUCUGUUUUCCCUUUGAGAUUUUCAGCCCCCUCCAACCGAGAGCCUUUCGGAUUUUUUUUUUUAGCCUUUUUUCUCCCACUCUCUCUAAUCGUUCCCCCCACCUUGUAAUUUGUGGCUCCUUCAUCUUUUUAAGGCACACCCAAGAAAAACUAAACCUAAGAUCAAAGGCUAAGAUCUCAUCCUCCCAAAAAUAGGCUUAUGUGCAAAAAAUAAAAUAAAAUAAGAUAAAGUAAAACCCUAACAUUGAAACAAAUUAAAUUAAAAACUAAAUGAUUAAAGUUUAAUUAAAUGAUAAAAUGAAAAAAUAAAAAUAAAAAUAAAAUGAAAUUAAUCAAAAUAGAAAUAAUAGUAAACAAAAUUCCUUAAAAAUUUGGUGUCUACAGAGAGAAAUUCAUGAAGGUAGUGAGAAUGUUAGAGAACAAAAGAAAUCCAUUCUAGUUACAAAGUAUGAAUCCUUCAAGAUGCAACCUCAUGAAAACAUUGAUGAGAUGUACUGUAGAUUCAACGACCUCAUUAAGGACUUAGAGGUGCUGGAAAAAGAAUAUUCUCUUGGUGAGAAAAAUACAAAAAUCCUGAAUGCCUUGUCCAAUGAUUGAGAAAAUAAAGUGACUGCUAUUGAGGAGGCUAAAGAUUUGAAUACUAUGCCUAUUGAAUCUCUAAUUAAUUCUCUAAUCUCUUAUGAGCUGAAACUUAAAUCCAAAGUGCAAGAGGAGGAGGAUGCGAAAGUAAGAAAGAAUAUUGCUCUGAAGGUUUCACAAGAUGAAAAUGAUCCAGCCUCUGUGAGUGAAGAUGACAUGGAAGGUGAUGAUAGUGAUAUUGCACUCAUCACACGAGGCUUCAAAAGAAUACUCAACAAGAGAAAAUUCAGAAAAGGUGGACCUAGCAACUCCUUCCCGAAUCAGUCCAACAACUUGAGAAACAAAGGAAAGCUAGAGUUCACUAAAAAGCAAACUGAUAAGUGUUUUCAAUGCGGCCAAUCUGGACACUAUGCAAGUGAGUGUCCAAUGAAGAGGAGAAAAUGUGAAAGAAAACCAAGAUUCAACAACUUCCAGUUCACAUGGAAUGAGUGUAACUCCGAUGGUGAUAUUGAAGAGGAAGAAGAAUCUGCUCAAUUGGCUUUUAUGGCUAUUGGAGAUGACGAGUUAACAUCUUCUAACUCUCAAUUUGAAAGUGAUGAUGAAACUGAUGAUGAUCUUGAAUCUUUCAUUAUAAAAUUGUAUGAUAGUUUGAAAGAAUCUUAUGCUAGAAACAAGGAGUUAAAACAGAAAAUUAGUUUUUUGCUUCGAAAUAAUGCAAAUAUUUUUCAACAAAAUAAAAAGUUGAAAGCUGAAAAUGAUUACUUCAAAAAGAGUGAGACUGUUUUACAUUUUGAGCUUGAUAGAAAAACAAAGCUUUGUGAAUUAUUCGAAAAGGAAUAAGGUGAUUUGAAAAGAAGAAUGGAUGGUCUAAAUGAGUUGCUUAAACACAAGAAACAAGUCUAUUUUCAAAAGAAUAGGUUGAAUUCUAAUUCCAAUGAAUUUGCUAUCCAUAGGAAAAGGCAAGUCAGAUUUAUUAAACCCGUUCAUGUAAAUAAUUCUUUGGUUAUGUGUAAUAUUUGUUGUCAAAAAGGUCACAUGAAAAGUGAUUGUUAUGUGAGAAAGAACGUGUAAAGAGGCAUGAAAUGCAUGUGAAUAGUUAGAUAUGAUGCUAACUAUAACAAAUAGGAAAUAUGAUAAGAUUGAUAAGAUUCUUGUUCAAUGUUUUUUUAUAAUCUUCUUUUGAUGUUUCUGAUAUUUUUGAACUGAGUUUUUUUCUUUCUAUUUUUUUUACUGAAUUUGUAUAAUGUCAAAAAGGAAAAAAAAUAAUAAUAAUGCUGAUUUCAUGAUAAUUUGCUGUUAUAUGUUGGUGAUUGCUGUCAUUUCUCUGUUUUUAUUUGAAAUAUUGGAUUCUCUGUUAUUGUUGUUAGAUUAUAGUAGUUGGUUUUAUUCUCAUCUUAUGAUGACAAAAAGGGGGAGAAAUGGAUGCAAUGUGUAAGGGGGAGUUUUUCUGAUAUUAUGAGUUUGGCUUUUAAUAGUUUUGGAUGCAAUGAGUGAGGGGGAGUUUAUGCUCAUAUGCUCAAUCUUUUUUCCUUCCAUCCAUUAUUUUGUCAUCAUCAAAAAGGGGGAGAAUGUUGAUCUUGAUCCCUAUCUUUUGAUGUUUACAAAACAAAUUGAUGUUACUAAUAUCUCUUCAAAGAUCUAUUCAGUUAUGAAGCAAAUCAGUUCCAAAGAUCAAGUGCAAUUGAAAGAAGACAAAGGUUGCUGAAAGCUGUCAGACGCUCAAAAAGAUUGCAUCGGACGUCCUACAACCAUUGAGUAUCUUCGGACGCAGAAAACCAGCCUAUCGGACGUCCUAAGGAAUUGAAGAAAAAUUCUCAGUUUUACAUCAUACCUUCGAACGUAGAAAAGCAGCCUAUCGGACGUCCGAAAGAAUUGAAGAAAAUUUCUCAAACUCACUGCCUGUUGUCGGACGCAUGAAACAGUGCUAUCGGACGUCCGACACUACCAACGGCUAGUUGACUGUUCAGCUACUUUCUAUCCGUUGGAAGCAUUAAUGAAGCACUUUCUUGGUCCUAUAGAAAUAGUGGUUGGUCAGACACUUCAAACAACUUUGGCACACUGAAGAUACAAAAGAUCUAGAGAGAUUUUAGUGAGAAAAUACUCUUCAAAGAAGAUUUGUAGUCUUAGUGGUGUGAGGUUCAUUGUAAGCUUUUCAUUUGUGAGUGAAUACUUCAUGAGUGUAGCUCUGUGAGGGUUAUCCGAGUGAUAGUAAAACUUUCUUGCUUGACCAAGUGCGGCUUGGGGCGAGGAGGAAGUGAUCCUUCCUUUGUACACACGAGUGAUUGUAAUUCAACAACUUGAAGUAGCUUGUUUGAAUCAAUCUACAAGCUCAAGAGGAGUUGGGUAGUUAAUUGGUUUGCAAUUCUUUCCUUUUUAUUUACUUAUUCUUACGUUUAUGAUCUUUAAAUUGUUUAUCUCUUCUACUCACAAGCACUUGUGCUUUCUUAUCAACUGCUGCAUUGUGUGGUCGCCUAGAAAAGGGUUGUUUUCGGGCCUUACAAUUGGUAUCAGAGCUUGGUCUCCUUGAGAUUAAGCUCAAUCGGCUUUGGAGUAAAGAUGACAACCAAUAACGCUAUGUUUUUCGAAGGACAUUCUGUCAUUAGACCACCUAUAUUUAAUGGGUCAAAUUAUGUGAGUUGGAAAGAAAGAAUGAUUAUUUUUUUGCAAUCUAUUGAUAUUGAAUUGUGGUUUAUUAUUAGUGAAGGUCCAUAUGAUGCCUCUCUUAUAGAUGAAAAUACUCAGAGAUCUAGACCAAAAACAAGAAGUGAACUGACUGCUGCGGAUAGAGCUCAUCUCACAUUAAAUGCAAAAGCCAUGAAUGUGUUAUAUUGUGCUUUAGAUUCAAAUGAAUCUAUUAGAGUCAAAGGCUGCAAGUCAGCCAAGGAAAUUUGGGAUAAACUGAGAGAAAUUCAUGAAGGUAGUGAGAAUGUUAGAGAACAAAAGAAGUCCAUUCUAGUUACAAAGUAUGAAUCCUUCAAGAUGCAACCUCAUGAAAACAUUGAUGAGAUGUACUGUAGAUUCAACGACUUCAUUAAGGACUUAGAGGUGCUGGAAAAAGAAUAUUCUCUUGGUGAGAAAAAUACAAAAAUCCUGAAUGCCUUGUCCAAUGAUUGGGAAAAUAAAGUGACUGCUAUUGAGGAGGCUAAAGAUUUGAAUACUAUGCCUAUUGAAUCUCUUAUUAAUUCUCUAACCUCUUAUGAGCUGAAACUUAAAUCCAAAGUGCAAGAGGAGGAGGAUGCGAAAGUAAGAAAGAAUAUUGCUCUGAAGGCUUCACAAGAUGAAGAUGAUCCAGCCUCCGUGAGUGAAGAUGACAUGGAAGGUGAUGAUAGUGAUAUUGCACUCAUCACACGAGACUUCAAAAGAAUACUCAACAAGAGGAAAUUCAGAAAAGGUGGACCUAACAACUCCUUCCCGAAUCAGUCCAACAACUUGAGAAACAAAGGGAAGCUAGAGUUCACUAAAAAGCAAACUGAUAAGUGUUUUGAAUGCGGCCAAUCUGGAUACUAUGCAAGUGAGUGUCCAAUGAAGAAGAGAAAAUGUGAAAGAAAACCAAGAUUCAACAACUUCCAGUUCACAUGGAAUGAGUGUAACUCCGAUGGUGAUAUUGAAGAGGAAGAAGAAUCUGCUCAAUUGGCUUUUAUGGCUAUUGGAGAUGACGAGAUAACAUCUUCUAACUCUCAAUUUGAAAGUGAUGAUGAAACUGAUGAUGAUCUUGAAUCUUUCAUUAUAAAAUUGUAUGAUAGUUUGAAAGAAUCUUAUGCUAGAAACAAGGAGUUAAAACAGAAAAUUAGUUUUUGCUUCGAAAUAAUGCAAAUAUUUUUCAACAAAAUAAAAAGUUGAAAGCUGAAAAUGAUUACUUCAAAAAGAGUGAGACUGCUUUACAUUUUGAGCUUGAUAGAAAAACAAAGCUUUGUGAAUUAUUCAAAAAGGAACAAGGUGAUUUGAAAAGAAGAAUGGAUGGUCUAAAUGAGUUGCUUAAACACAAGAAACAAGUCUAUUUUCAAAAGAAUAGGUUGAAUUCUAAUUCCAAUGAAUUUGCUAUCCAUAGGAAAAGGCAAGUCAGAUUUAUUAAACCCGUUCAUGUAAAUAAUUCUUUGGUUAUGUGUAAUAUUUGUUGUCAAAAAGGUCACAUGAAAAGUGAUUGUUAUGUGAGAAAGAACGUGUAAAGAGGCAUGAAAUGCAUGUGAAUAGUUAGAUAUGAUGCUAACUAUAACAAAUAGGAAAUAUGAUAAGAUUGAUAAGAUUCUUGUUCAAUGUUUUUUUAUAAUCUUCUUUUGAUGUUUCUGAUAUUUUUGAACUGAGUUUUUUUCUUUCUAUUUUUUUUACUGAAUUUGUAUAAUGUCAAAAAGGAAAAAAAAUAAUAAUAAUGCUGAUUUCAUGAUAAUUUGCUGUUAUAUGUUGGUGAUUGCUGUCAUUUCUCUGUUUUUAUUUGAAAUAUUGGAUUCUCUGUUAUUGUUGUUAGAUUAUAGUAGUUGGUUUUAUUCUCAUCUUAUGAUGACAAAAAGGGGGAGAAAUGGAUGCAAUGUGUAAGGGGGAGUUUUUCUGAUAUUAUGAGUUUGGCUUUUAAUAGUUUUGGAUGCAAUGAGUGAGGGGGAGUUUAUGCUCAUAUGCUCAAUCUUUUUUCCUUCCAUCCAUUAUUUUGUCAUCAUCAAAAAGGGGGAGAAUGUUGAUCUUGAUCCCUAUCUUUUGAUGUUUACAAAACAAAUUGAUGUUACUAAUAUCUCUUCAAAGAUCUAUUCAGUUAUGAAGCAAAUCAGUUCCAAAGAUCAAGUGCAAUUGAAAGAAGACAAAGGUUGCUGAAAGCUGUCAGACGCUCAAAAAGAUUGCAUCGGACGUCCUACAACCAUUGAGUAUCUUCGGACGCAGAAAACCAGCCUAUCGGACGUCCUAAGGAAUUGAAGAAAAAUUCUCAGUUUUACAUCAUACCUUCGAACGUAGAAAAGCAGCCUAUCGGACGUCCGAAAGAAUUGAAGAAAAUUUCUCAAACUCACUGCCUGUUGUCGGACGCAUAAAACAGUGCUAUCGGACGUCCGACACUACCAACGGCUAGUUGACUGUUCAGCUACUUUCUAUCCGUUGGAAGCAUUAAUGAAGCACUUUCUUGGUCCUAUAUAAAUAGUGGUUGGUCAGACACUUCAAACAACUUUGGCACACUGAAGAUACAAAAGAUCUAGAGAGAUUUUAGUGAGAAAAUACUCUUCAAAGAAGAUUUGUAGUCUUAGUGGUGUGAGGUUCAUUGUAAGCUUUUCAUUUGUGAGUGAAUACUUCAUGAGUGUAGCUCUGUGAGGGUUAUCCGAGUGAUAGUAAAACUUUCUUGCUUGACCAAGUGCGGCUUGGGGCGAGGAGGAAGUGAUCCUUCCUUUGUACACACGAGUGAUUGUAAUUCAACAACUUGAAGUAGCUUGUUUGAAUCAAUCUACAAGCUCAAGAGGAGUUGGGUAGUUAAUUGGUUUGCAAUUCUUUCCUUUUUAUUUACUUAUUCUUACGUUUAUGAUCUUUAAAUUGUUUAUCUCUUCUACUCACAAGCACUUGUGCUUUCUUAUCAACUGCUGCAUUGUGUGGUCGCCUAGAAAAGGGUUGUUUUCGGGCCUUACAAUUGGUAUCAGAGCUUGGUCUCCUUGAGAUUAAGCUCAAUCGGCUUUGGAGUAAAGAUGACAACCAAUAACGCUAUGUUUUUCGAAGGACAUUCUGUCAUUAGACCACCUAUAUUUAAUGGGUCAAAUUAUGUGAGUUGGAAAGAAAGAAUGAUUAUUUUUUUGCAAUCUAUUGAUAUUGAAUUGUGGUUUAUUAUUAGUGAAGGUCCAUAUGAUGCCUCUCUUAUAGAUGAAACUACUCAGAGAUCUAGACCAAAAACAAGAAGUGAACUGACUGCUGCGGAUAGAGCUCAUCUCACAUUAAAUGCAAAAGCCAUGAAUGUGUUAUAUUGUGCUUUAGAUUCAAUUGAAUCUAUUAGAGUCAAAGGCUGCAAGUCAGCCAAGGAAAUUUGGGAUAAACUGAGAGAAAUUAAUGAAGGUAGUGAGAAUGUUAGAGAACAAAAGAAGUCCAUUCUAGUUACAAAGUAUGAAUCCUUCAAGAUGCAACCUCAUGAAAAUAUUGAUGAGAUGUACUGUAGAUUCAACGACCUCAUUUUGGACUUAGAGGUGCUGGAAAAAGAAUAUUCUCUUGGUGAGAAAAAUAGAAAAAUCCUGAAUGCCUUGUCCAAUGAUUGGGAAAAUAAAGUGACUGCUAUUGAGGAGGCUAAAGAUUUGAAUACUAUGCCUAUUGAAUCUCUUAUUAAUUCUCUAAUCUCUUAUGAGCUGAAACUUAAAUCCAAAGUGCAAGAGGAGGAGGAUGCGAAAGUAAGAAAGAAUAUUGCUCUGAAGGCUUCACAAGAUGAAGAUGAUCCAGCCUCCGUGAGUGAAGAUGACAUGGAAGGUGAUGAUAGUGAUAUUGCACUCAUCACACGAGGCUUCAAAAGAAUACUCAACAAGAGGAAAUUCAGAAAAGGUGGACCUAGCAACUCCUUCCCGAAUCAGUCCAACAACUUGAGAAACAAAGGGAAGCUAGAGUUCACUACAAAGCAAACUGAUAAGUGUUUUGAAUGCGGCCAAUCUGGACACUAUGCAAGUGAGUGUUCAAUGAAGAAGAGAAAAUGUGAAAGAAAACCAAGAUUCAACAACUUCUAGUUCACAUGGAAUGAGUGUAACUCCGAUGGUGAUAUUGAAGAGGAAGAAGAAUCUGCUCAAUUGGCUUUUAUGGCUAUUGGAGAUGACGAGAUAACAUCUUCUAACUCUCAAUUUCAAAGUGAUGAUGAAACUGAUGAUGAUCUUGAAUCUUUCAUUAUAAAAUUGUAUGACAGUUUGAAAGAAUCUUAUGCUAGAAACAAGGAGUUAAAACAGAAAAUUAGUUUUUACUUCGAAAUAAUGCAAAUAUUUUUCAACAAAAUAAAAAGUUGAAAGCUGAAAAUGAUUACUUCAAAAAGAGUGAGACUGCUUUACAUUUUGAGCUUGAUAGAAAAACAAAACUUUGUGAAUUAUUCAAAAAGGAACAAGGUGAUUUGAAAAGAAGAAUGGAUGGUUUAAAUGAAUUGCUUAAACACAAGAAACAAGUCUAUUUUCAAAAGAAUAGGUUGAAUUCUAAUUCCAAUAAAUUUGCUAUCCAUAGGAAAAGGCAAGUCAGAUUUAUUAAACCCGUUCAUGUAAAUAAUUCUUUGGUUGUGUGUAAUAUUUGUUGUCAAAAAGGUCACAUGAAAAGUGAUUGUUAUGUGAGAAAGAACGUGAAAAGAGGCAUGAAAUGCAUGUGGAUAGUUAGAUAUGAUGCUAACUCGAACAAAUAGGAAAUAUGAUAAGAUUGAUAAGAUUCUUGUUCAAUGUUUUUUUAUAAUCUUCUUUUGAUGUUUCUGAUAUUUUUGAACUGAGUUUUUUUUCUUUCUAUUUUUUUUACUGAAUUUGUAUAAUGUCAAAAAGGAAAAAAAAUAAUAAUAAUGCUGAUUUCAUGAUAAUUUGCUGUGAUAUGUUGGUGAUUGCUGUCAUUUCUCUGUUUUUAUUUGAAAUAUUGGAUUCUCUGUUAUUGUUGUUAGAUUAUAGUAGUUGGUUUUAUUCUCAUCUUAUGAUGACAAAAAGGGGGAGAAAUGGAUGCAAUGUGUAAGGGGGAGUUUUUCUGAUAUUAUGAGUUUGGCUUUUAAUAGUUUUGGAUGCAAUGAGUGAGGGGGAGUUUAUGCUCAUAUGCUCAAUCUUUUUUCCUUCCAUCCAUUAUUUUGUCAUCAUCAAAAAGGGGGAGAAUGUUGAUCUUGAUCCCUAUCUUUUGAUGUUUACAAAACAAAUUGAUGUUACUAAUAUCUCUUCAAAGAUCUAUUCAGUUAUGAAGCAAAUCAGUUCCAAAGAUCAAGUGCAAUUGAAAGAAGACAAAGGUUGCUGAAAGCUGUCGGACGCUCAAAAAGACUGCAUCGGACGUCCGACAACCAUUGAGUAUCUUCGGACGCAGAAAACCAGCCUAUCGGACGUCCUAAGGAAUUGAAGAAAAAUUCUCAGUUUUACAUCAUACCUUCGAACGCAGAAAACCAGCCUAUCGGACGUCUAAAAGAAUUGAAGAAAAUUUCUCAAACUCACUGCCUGCUGUCGGACGCAUAAAACAGUGCUAUCGGACGUCCGACACUACCAACGGCUAGUUGACUGUUCAGUUACUUUCUAUCCGUUGGAAGCAUUAAUGUGGCACUUUCUUGGUCCUAUAUAAAAUGUGGUUGGUCAGACACUCCAAACAACUUUGGCACACUGAAGAUACAAAAGAUCUAGAGAGAUUUUAGUGAGAAAAUACUCUUCAAAGAAGAUUUGUAGUCUUGGUGGUGUGAGGUUCAUUGUAAGCUUUUCAUUUGUGAGUGAAUACUUCAUGAGUGUAGCUCUGUGAGGGUUAUCCGAGUGAUAGUAAAACUUUCUUGCUUGACCAAGUGCGGCUUGGGGCGAGGAGGAAGUGAUCCUUCCUUUGUACACAAGAGUGAUUGUAAUUCAUCAAUUUGAAGUAGCUUGUUUGAAUCAAUCUACAAGCUCAAGAGGAGUUGGGUAGUUAAUUGGUUUGCAAUUCUUUCCUUUUUAUUUACUUAUUCUUACGUUUAUGAUCUUUAAAUUGUUUAUCUCUUCUACUCACAAGCACUUGUGCUUUCUUAUCAACUGCUCCAUUGUGUGGUCGCCUAGAAAAGGGUUGUUUUCGGGCCUUACAAUUGGUAUCAGAGCUUGGUCUCCUUGAGAUUAAGCUCAAUCGGCUUUGGAGUAAAGAUGACAACCAAUAAUGCUAUGUUUUUCGAAGGACAUUCUGUUAUUAGACCUCCUAUGUUUAAUGGGUCAAAUUAUGUGGGAUGGAAAGAAAGAAUGAUUAUUUUUUUGCAAUCUAUUGAUAUUGAAUUGUGGUUUAUUAUUAGUGAAGGUCCAUAUGAUGUCUCUCUUAUAGAUGAAAAUACUCAGAGAUCUAGACCAAAAACAAGAAGUGAACUGACUACUGCGGAUAGAGCUCAUCUCACAUUAAAUGCAAAAGCCAUGAAUGCGUUAUAUUGUGCUUUAGAUUCAUAUGAAUCUAUUAGAGUCAAAGGCUGCAAGUCAGACAAGGAACUUUGGGAUAAACUGAGAGAUUUCAAAAAUGGCAGAAAGCCGAAAAGUCAAAAGAAGAAAGAAAAUGAAAAAGAAAAGGCCUCAAUUGAGCAUAAACUGGGGCAAAUUCUGAUUUAACCCUAAAAUAGGGUUGGCGCAACAAUGCGAUCUCAGAUUCUUCAAACCUUUUUAAAGUCUGCAUUCAAGCCUUAACUUUUCUAAGCACCCCACCAGACCCCAUUACAAAAGCUGGAAAGUCCUGACUUCUGUUCUUUGCAAUGGCCCUGUCAAGAAAAUUUCUGAUGCCGAAAAUUUUAGCUGUAUUUCUGAAUUGUUUGGGUAUGGGGUUGACACUACUCACCAUGUGAAAACCCAUCAAGUUGAGGGAAAGGGAAAAGAGGCAAAAUGCAAAGUAAGAAAAGUAAAUGCAAGAAAAGUAGAAAAAUUCGACGUUGAAGUCCCUGGUGAAUGAUGAGAAGAAUACAAACAAAUUCUGAGAUCUUUGAGUUCAGAAUAGGGGCAGUUUUGGAAAAAUGCGAUCUUCGGUGCAAUGUCCUUGAAAGACUUAUCCUUCAGCUAUCGUUUCAAGCCACAUUACAAGUUAAUAAAGUCCAUCGUUGACUUAUUCCUUCAUGACAAUCCAAAGAGGAAUUAUGCUCGUAAGAAAUCCAUCAAUCAUUCGUGAUCAUGGGGGUAUAACCAGUUUUCACAGGUUUAGCUAUCGCUUCUACCCAUUUUGGUACAAGUUUAAAGCUUAUAUGUUGACUAAAUUUUCUUAAGAAAUAGGGGUGACAAACUAUUUGCUUUCACUAAGAUGUGGUAUUGAAGGAAUUACAAUUUUGGGCACAAGAACCAAACAAAUCUCAUCUUCUCAUUUCCCUUAACCACCUCAAAAUCAAAAAUAACACCCACUUGAUUGGUCCUGAAAGAUGAGAAGUGGUAAUCCAUUACCCUAAGCAUUUAUGCUAAAGUGGGAAAGAAAUCUUUUGUAAUUUGGAAUUAUUUCGAAAGAUUCAUCAUCAAAUUUUCUGUUAGGAAACACAGUUUCUUACAUUGUUCAAAUAAAUGGAGUGUCAUCCAAACAAAUUUUUUGCAAUUAAAUAAGCCCACGCUGGAGCAAAUUUUCAUUUGAGGGAUUUUGCAAAAUAGGCCCAUAAUGGGGCAAAUUUUCAUUUACAAGAUUUCGCAAAUUGUGCCCACACUGGGGCAAAUUUUUAUUCAUGGGAUUUCACAGAAUAAGCCCACACUGGGGCAAAAUUUUUAUAGUUCAUUUGAGGAUUUCGUCCAAGAAUCAAAUAAUGCAUUUUUCAAAUCAAUCACGCUGUUUCUUUUCAUGAAAUUCAAGUGCAUGUCAUAUUUUGGUAAGCCCCUGUGCAGGUAUUCAUAGUUGAAAUCGACGAAGGAGCAUCUGGUGAUGUGGAAAGCCGACGCCGAAGAAAGAAAAGAAAGAAGGGGAAAAGGGCCCUACACUGAGGGCAAAUUAUUUUGAAAAAGAUUCUCUCGAAAAAUCAGAAAAAAUUCAAAUUCAAAAAUCAAAAAUCAAGUUCAAAUUCUUGUUUCUUGGAAAAUCAAAUUUCUUGUUUCUUGACAAAUCAAAUUCAAUUUCUUGACCAAUUGGGUGGCAGGCUUGGGUUUUAUCCCACUGACCGCUUUUAUGUUUCAUUGGGCAUGGGUUUUAUCCUCCAAUUACCUCGGCAGGCUUGGGUUUUAUCCCACUGACCGCUUUUAUGUUCCGUUGGGCAUGGGUUUUAUCCCUCCGACCUCGGCAGGCUUGGGUUUUAUCCCACUGACCGCUUUUAUGUUUCGUUGGGCAUGGGUUUUAUCCCUCCGACCUCGGCAGGCUUGGGUUUUAUCCCACUGACCGCUUUUAUGUUCGUUGGGCAUGGGUUUUAUCCCUCCGACCUCGGCAGGCUUGGGUUUUAUCCCACUGACCGCUUUUAUGUUUCGUUGGGCAUGGGUUUUAUCCCUCCGACCUCGGCAGGCUUGGGUUUUAUCCCACUGACCGCUUUUAUGUUUCGUUGGGCAUGGGUUUUAUCCCUCCAAUUCUCUCGGCAGGCUCGGGUUUUAUCCCGCUGACCGCUUUUAUCAAUUGGGACCGGGUUUCAUCCCGCCAAUCUCGGCAGGAUCGGGUUUUAUCCCGCUGACCGUGCUUUAUACCACUGACCGAUUCCCACUGACCAAUUCUUCAUACUGGGGCAAAUUAUCUUUGGAAAGUUUCUCAAAAAAUCAAAAAUCAAAAAUCAAAAAAUCAAAAAAUCAAAAAAAUAUCAAAAAAUCAAAAAAUCAAAAAAAUAUCAAAAAAUCAAAAAAAUCAAAAAAAAAUCAAAAAUCAAAAAAAUCAAAAAAAUCAAAAAAUCAAAUCAAGUUCAUCACGGCAGGAUCGGGUUUAAUCCUACUGUCCGAUUGUCAAAGCAUUUCAUUUUCAAAGCCACUGGAGCCUGAGGUUAGUCCUGCCAGUGAGCAUUUCCUUUUCGUUCGCCACUAUCCGUGGGUCAGUCCCACUAGUGAGCAUUUCAUUUGCAUCACUAACAAACAUGGGUCGGUCUCAUUAACACUUCAUUUCACUGCUUUCAUUUGCAUCACCAAUAAACAUGGGUCAAUCCCACCAACACACCAUCUCACUUCAAUUCAUCCCGUUUAAAUUUCUGUUCGGGUCAGUCCCGUUUAAAUUCUGUUCGGGUCAGUCCCGUUUAAUUUCUGUUCGUGUUUUAAAUUCUGUUCGGGUCAGUCCCGUUUAAAUUUUGUUCGGGUCAGUCCCGUUUUAAUUUCUGUUCGGGUCAGUCCCGUUUUAAUUCUUCUGUUCCAGUCCCGUUUAAAUUCUGUUCGGGUCAGUCCCGUUUUAAUUUCUGUUCGGGUCAGUCCCGUUUUAAAUUCUGUUCGGGUCAGUCCCGUUUAAUUUCUGUUCGGGUCAGUCCCGUUUAAUUUCUGUUCGGGUCAGUCCCGUUUAAAUUCUGUUCGGGUCAGUCCCGUUUUAAUUUCUGUUCGGGUCAGUCCCGUUUAAAUUCUGUUCGGGUCAGUCCGUUUUAAUUUCUGUUCGGGUCAGUCCCGUUUAAAUUCUGUUCGGGUCAGUCCCGUUUAAAUUCUGUUCGGGUCAGUCCCGUUUAAAUUCUGUUCGGGUCAGUCCCGUUUAAAUUCUGUUCGGGUCAGUCCCGUUUAAAUUCUGUUCGGGUCAGUCCCGUUUAAAUUCUGUUCGGGUCGUCCCGUUUAAUUUCUGAUGCGUCGUCAGUCCCGUUUUAAAAUUUCCUGUCAGGAGUCAGUCCCCAUCGUUUGAGAAGUUCACCGCCGAAUAAUGCUGGUAAAUAUUUGGUGUCUACUUCUUUGUCUCAAGUUUUUUCAAAACUCAGACAAAGAGGGGCAAACUGUAGACACCAAAAUUUUGGUGUUUUAUUAUUUAUUUAUUUACUAUUCGUUUUUUAUUUGUUCUAUUUUUAUUCGUCACAAUUAGUUUUAUUUACUUUUAGUUUUAGUUAUGUUAGUCAUUUUAAUGUAGAAUUUCUCAAAAAGGAAAAAAUAUGUUUUUAGUUGUUUGUGUUUUAAAUUCAAUGUUUUCUUGAAGGAAAAAUGAAAAAUGAAAAAAUGAAAAAUGAGGAAAAUGAAAAAUGGAAAAUUGCAAUUUUUGUUGUUUAUCAUUUUAGUUUAGUUUUUUAGCCAAUGUUAAUUAAUUUGUUGUUUUUCUUCUUAAUUUUAUUAUUAUUAUUAUUAUUAUUAUUAUCAUUUUUGUUAGAUUAUUUAAAAAAUUAAUUAUUAUUAAAAAAGAAGCCAAAAGCUGCUUUUUUGCCGCAGCUUGCAAAUGGAAGUUGCGGGAGGUCCUGGGAGGAAUUUUCAGCUGAAGAGGCCAGGUGUCUAGGACACCUGGAGGGGGAUGAAUCUAGAAGGAGGGGUUUUUUGGAGAGGAUCGGCAGGCUAAAAGAAAAACUGAGCAAGGGUUUUGGUUGGAGAGAGAGUUAGCGGCUAAGGAAAGAGAGAAGGCGGAGAGAAAGGGGGCUGGGCAUUGGGUGAUGGCUAAAAAAAUCUGAAGGAAAAACAAAGCAAGGAAGAGAUUGGCGGCAUGGGUUCUGAAAGAAAAGAAACGUAGAAGCAAGAGAGGGAGCAGUGAGGAGGGUUUCGGCUGCAAAACAGAGAGGGAAAGGGAAGGUAUCGCCUGCAUCAACGCUGGAGCCUCUCGCAACCCAGUUCGCGGAUUUCUAUUGCCGGAGCUGUGCGAUUCCCAGGAGCCUCUACUAUUUCGCUUAGCAGCAUUGGUGUUUCCAGGUAGUCAUGGAUUCUUCUCCAUCUUAGUUUGACAUAAUUUCCUUCCUUUCUUAAGUUUUGCCGAGGCUGAGGAUGUGACUGUAAAUCACCCUUGUCUUUCUCUGGUCGUCCAAGUUGUGACCUGAUUGUUUUUCUUGCUUUUGUUUAUCGCUUGACUGAGAAAUGCCAUGAACUCGUUGGCUAUCAAAGCUGUGUUAGAACCUCCUUGAUGCAAGUUUAGGAACCAAAAAAAGCUGCUAGCUUGCGUGCUUUCUUUAUCUUUCGAAACCGAAUGAAUGUCGUUCAUCAUGAACAAGUCCCUCUCCUAGCCUCUAUGCUGAAUUCAUGACUCUGAUGGAAAUAAGCUAAUGUAUGAGGUUUGGAUAGGUUUCACUUUGCACGAACAAAUUUUGGGAUGCACGAGAAAAUUGCAGAAUUUUUAUUUCCUAGCUUUCUGUAUGCGCAAUUUUUAUGACUCUGUGAAUUCCAUGCUUAAAGCUAGCAACGGUUUGGAUGAGCUUUCUCGCCUGUGUCUAGGAUGUUUUUGUGUCUAAAUGUUUGAUAAUGUAAACUCUUGAUUUCACACGGUUGAAUGAAUGUUUUCUGGAUUCACAUGAAAUUUUGGUGUUUGCUGCAACAUUUUUAGAAUCGCAGAAUGGUUACUUCGUUGCUUUGCUGCAUUUCUGGUUUACUUAAUUUGAUUAAAUCAUCUAGGACGGGGGAUUAUGUUAAGGGCAAUGGGUUGAAACUGUAACAUUGGGUUUUGAAUGGGUUCUGACUUGAUUGCUUCACUUUUUCAUGGACUGAUACGCAUGCUUGUGAGCUGUUUUCGUGUGAUUAAAAAGAAAACUCAGAACUGGUGGAAAGUUUUUCUUGAAUGAACCUGCAAGUGCUAGCUUGUUCCUCAUUCCAAAUUUUUCUCUCUUGUGUGCAUAGCAUAGCACUUUGAGGAUGAAUUUAGAAGGCUUAAUGAGAGCUUGAGGUUGAAUCCUUGUUGAAAUUUUUGUUGCAUAAGUUUGCUGAAAUUCCAAAGUCUCAAGACUGCCGAACCUUUUUUUUACAUACUUUUUCUCCAGCAUUGGCAUGAAGUUCCUUCUACGGUUUGAGCUGGUUUGAAUGUUGCAAUGAUGUGUUAUGAUGUUUAGAUCCGUUUUUAGGUGUUUUGUUUAAAAGAUUUUUGGAUCAAAGCUGAUGAUUGAGGAUGAUAUGUUUCCGUAAGAAUAAAAAUUGCUGCUAGCUGGCUGCAGAAACAAUUUUCCUUCGUAAGUUGCAUGCUGUGCAUGAAAAUAUUUUCUGAAUUUUUGCCUUUUGAUCCUUCAAGUCCCCUUGGUUUCACUAAGGCCCAAUCAUGAGCUGAUUUCUUGCAAUUAGAUUCUAAGAUAGUUGCAAUUGGCACCAUGGUUUGACUUCUGCUUUGCCAUUGACCUUUAAAGUCUCUUGAGUGUUUUUAAUUGGUCCUACAUGAUUGGUUUGUGUUUGCAAUUGAACCCCUUAACUUGUGUUUAGUGCUGCCAUGGCCCAAUUAAUUGGAAAACUUAAUUAAUUUUGUCCUCCUAAUAUGCCAUUUCCUUUUUAAUUCAUCUUGAUUUAUUUUGGGGUAGAUAUUUAAGGGGUUGUAGAAUGGAUUUGAAGGGUCUAGUAAUAUCUUUUUCCCAUAUUUGUAGUUAAUUUGAUUUUUCUUGGAUUCUUUGGCAUUUUGUCACUUAGACACUAGUAAUUUGCUUCUCAUUUACCUUUUUGUGAAAUUUCUUGUUUGAUUUGGUUUUGUUUCACCUUAGACUCUUAAUUUUAUUUUAUGUUUUUUCAAGUCCCUUAGUGUUUAUAAUAAAUUGGCUCUUUAAACCUCUUUAAUUUCUCAAUUGGGUCGUUGCUUGUCUUAAUUGGUUAAGUACGAGUAGUUUACUUUCUUUGGAAGGCCUCAAGUGAUUCAAUUUGGCGUUUAUUUCCAUUUUCUCUGAUUUAUUUGAUAAUUUAAGUGGUACCUUGACCUUUUUAUUAUUUUGGAGGGUAAGUUAGUAAUUUCACCACGUCAGGGCGUCGCUUCAAGGGAGGUACACCCUAUCCCUCAUUUUGCACUUCAUUUGACCCUAUGUGCUCCUACGUGUUAUGUGAAUAUGCAUGCCUACUCCGCUUUCCUUACCUCCUUGCAUGCAUUUACUUGCUUUUGCUUUUAUUUAAGUUUUAUGGGGUAUGUGUACACCUCUUGGCUUGUAAUAGAUAGUGCUCGGAGAGCAUCUGGUCCAUUUCCCCUUUCCCUUUAUGUUUUCAUGGGGUAUGUGUACACCUCUUGGCUUGUAAUAGAUAGGGCUCGUAGAGCAUCUGGUCCAUUUCCCCUUCCCCUUGGUUACUUGCUUUUGAUGUUACAUGUUAAAUUGCUUUAGUAGGCUCUUGCAUCUAGUCGAGCAUGCUAAGUGCUACGUGCUACGUGUUUACGAGCGUUUUGGCAUGUCUACUUGCUUUCAUAACCAUGAAUGAAUGGAAUGGAUGAAUGUACGUCACCACACUAGUCCAACGCUAGUUGUGGCUCAUUAUUUCAUUAGGAAUUCAUAGAAAGGGCUAGUCCAACGCUAGACCCAAUAGGAUUUUCCCUUUGUUUUUCAUUAAUGCAUUAUUUGCUUGUUCACCUCAUAUCACGCAUUUCCUUUAGAUUUAUCAUUUGGCAUGAUCCUCGAACCCCUUUCCCCUCAUUUUAGGUUUUGCAUCCCAUACUAGCUAUAGGGUUCAUUUUGCUUGAGUGUCCCCUUCCGAUAAGGGAAACGAGCGAGUGUGGCUACUCGAUAGCUUUAGCACGCUAGUUUCGCCUUCUAAUCAAAGGGAAAAUCAAGUCACGAUUUAGGUCUCCCCGUACCCAAUAUGCAUGAAUUCCUUAGGCUCAUGCAUUCUCAAGCCACUCUAUCAUUACAUUUUCACUUUUGUCUCAUUUGCACACAUGCACUUUUUAUCACUUUCACUUGCACACGAACACUUUUUUAUCUCCACUUGCACACGAACCCUUUUAUCUUCACUUGCACACGAACAGUUUUACCUUCACUCGCACACGAGUACUUUCAUCUACAUUUGCACACCUUCACUCUUAUCUUAUUACUUUUAUCAUUUUUCUCACUUCACACAAAGUCACACUUUCACAUGGCAUGCAUUCCACUCAUUUUCCACGUCAUUUAGAUUUAGGUGUGACCUCUCCAAAAGGAUCAUUAUUGGGCUUCACAAUUAAUGUGAUUGGCACCACUCAACCUUUGAAGAGAAAUUUCCCCCGAUUCCCCUAGGUCUAGGUUUUUGCAUUCAUAUAGUCAUGUCCAACGUGCUAACAUAUAUUGGGUAGAAAAUUAAGAAAGGUAAGGUUAAGUCGCGCAACUAGCCUUGGCUAGGUCAAAGGGGUGCCUUGGAUUCUAUCCUUGCCUUCCCCUUUGUCAAACGUGACCCCCGAACCUUUUUCUUUGGCUUACGUGGACUAGGAGUCGUUUUUAAAAGGGUUUUACUAUUUUGUCUUUAAAAAUUUAUUUUUAGGUGACUUGGUACACCUUAAUCAUUACCAAGUGGCGACUCCAAUUUCUCAUUCAAAACCCUUUUAAAAACUAUUUUUUGGGUCGAAUCGUCGCUUUUUCAAGUUCCAUAUUAGACCCAUAUCUUUUUCAAUCAAAAUUCAAUCAAAAACAUCUUUCUCAAACCAUUUAUUUCACUCGAUUCAAAAGUGGGGCGCGACAGUCGGAUUUGCUUCGAUUUAACCUAAUUGUUGUGCUAGAUAAACUAUAAUAUUUUCUCUUGUUUAAUCUUAAGUUUUGUUGGUGAUUGAGGGUAAUAUCCGGCAGGAUAUUUUGGACAUUAUUUUUGUGUAAAUAGGUGAGUGUUCCUUGUUUGCUGUAUUUUAAUGACUUCAUGGCUUGUGUUAUUGUUUGAUAAUGUGUUAAGUGCUUUCAAAGAUUUUCAAAACGAGCUUUCUAGGCGAGUGUAUACUUUAUCGCACUCAACCUAAAUACAAUGUGAAAUUUUCAAUGAUUUAACGAUUGAAACAUUAUUUGUGCAUGGAUGUAAGCCUUUUGGCUGAAUUAGGUCCUGCCCUUCGUUACCGAUCGACUCGAGUCAGAAGCGGAUUCAAUCGGGCGAUAUGGUGACCCUGGGUGAAUUUGAUAUACUCGAGUAUUACCUUGUAUUCUGGUGGAGCCUGACCAAUAUCCAGGAAGGGGGUGAAUGAAAUGAACGAACGAACGAGGGUUUUACUUACAAAAUACAAAUUUUUAAAUGACCGGAGGAAUAAGAGGAAUGACAGGAGAACGAAUGAACGAACGAAUAUAUGGCUCCUUGUGAGCCCGUAUCCUUUUAAUGAAUGUGUUUAUCGCUUUAUAUUGUAUUUGUAUCUUGAAUUAUUGGUUAUAUCUAAUGAAUGCAUUGAACUUCUUGUUUGCCUAUGUGUUUGGAACCUCGCUGAGCUUUUAGCUCAUCCCUUUAGUUUUGUUUUCCUUAACAGGGGAAGGCGAGUAAGGACGAGAGCCCUGUAUAGACUAGCUUGGUCUAGCUCUUGAUUUUUUUGUAAUGGUUCUCGCCCUAGUACUUGGCAUGGGCUGGUUGUAUGGUGAAUUGAGAACCUUUGUAUAUUUGACGUUUGUACUUCCUUUUGAGAUAGCAAUGUAUAUAAGUUUUGUUUUAAAUUUUGGAUCGUUGUUAUGUUUAUUCUUGUGGGUUUGUUCUGGUUUCGAUUGAGGACUGAAGUGAAUGACUGAGUCCCGACGAAAGUUUGGCAGGCGGUCCGCCGAACCCUUUGGCUCGCCUUAAAGGGAGGUGGGACUGUCACAAAAAAUACUUUGAGUGCGGCCAGCAGGGACACUACAUGAAUGACCCAAUGAAGAAAAGAAAAAAGAAAAAGUUGAACGAAAAUCAAAGUUUAACAACUUUCAAAUAAUAUGGAAUGAUUGCAACUCGAAUGGUGAUGUUGAAGAAGAAGAAGAAUCUGUUCAAAUGCUUUCACGGCCAUUGGUGAUGAUGAGGUAACUACUUGCAACUCUCAACUUGACAGUGAUGAGGAAUUUGAUGAUAAUGUUAAUUCCAUCAUUGAAAGAUUGCAUAGCAGCUUGAAAGACUCUUGUGCUAGAAAUAAGUGUGAGAACCCGUAAAAACCCUAUUUUUUUUUCCUAGGGUUUAUUACCCCUUAAUUGCAUAAUUUUUGCAUUUUCUGGUUUAGAAAUAUUUUCUGGUAGAUUUUAUGCGUAAUUAUAGUUUUAAGAUGAUUUUUCUAGUAUUAGAGAGUUUUUAGAAAAUUAAGAGUAAAUAGUGGACGUGGGACCCACUAGUGCGAAAAGUUCAGAAAAAUUCGGCCAAUAAGGUUAAGUUUCGGAUACUGUGUAAAUUUAUCGGAUGUUAAGAGAUAAGUAGAGUGUGUGAAAUGAUUGAUGUGAGAGAGAAAAGAAAGGAUAGGAUUGCAUUAAUUGAGGUGCCAAGUGUCAUUGUUUCAUUGGGUUUGACUUAAGGCUUACUAUUCAUGUUUUUGACUUUUGACCCAUUAGUUAAAUAUUUCAAAAAAUUGACUAAAACUCACCAUUUUCUUCUCUUGUUGGCCGACUCUCUAGCUCAAGGAAGGAAGGAGAAACUCUUCAAGUUUUAGCUUCUACUUGGUGCAAAUCAACCAAAAACAUUUGCUUCCAUCCAUUUCACUCCAUAAAAUCCUAUCUUUUAGUGCUAGUAAGGGUAUUAGUGAAGUUGUUUUGAAGAGCUAAGGUGUCCAAUAUCCUCCUCUCUCUUGUUUCUUGGUAAGUGAUGCUUCAACCUCUCCCCUAUACCUAAUGAUGGUUAUAUGAUGCUUAAUGGUGGCAUGAGUGAAGGAAUAUAUGAUUUAUUUCUUGGUUUGAAGUGAUUUGGUUGAGUUUUUUAUUUUUUUGAGGAAUUUUCUGGUUUCAUAUGAUCUUGAUGGUGUGGUUGUUUUUGAUGGUUGGUAAUAAGGGGCUUUGGCUCUAGUAGGUGCAUAUGAUAGGAAAUUGCAAUCAAUUUUGAAUUUGGAAGAAUUUCUGGAAAAAUUAGGGUUCUUGGUUGAACAUUCUGUCUGAAAUUUUAGGUCAUAGAUAGAGGCCGAAUUGGACUUUGCUCAAAACAUGAAAGUUGUAGGUAUUGAUGUGUUUGAGAUGCCUGCAAAAUUUCAGGUCAUUUGAUUAGUGUGGAGUGAGAUAUGACGAAAUUACUGUAGCUGUUCUGCUUUGGACAGAAUGCGAAAACUGUACUGGUUAUUGGCCAUUUUGACUGGAAUUGGUUUGGAUUUAGUUGUUGGUGUCUUCUGAUGAAAUGUAGCUGGAUGUCUUAGCUAACAUAUGCCUUUGGAAUUUAAGCAUUUGGACUUGUAUAGACUAAGUUAUAGUAAUUACAGUUUUGUGUGAUUUGCAAACCUGUUUUGGUAAUUCUGGUAUAGUAUUUGGCAUUUUCGACCUAGUUAAGCUAGGAACUGGAUUGAGUGACCUUCUACUUUGUUGUAGCCCUGUUUCAUAGCUUCGAAACGGUGGGUCUUACACCCCCAUCCGAUAACCGUAGAGAAUUUUACACCAUUACCGCAUAAUAAGGGCAAAACAGUUUUCUAUUGGGGCCAAGACUAAGGCCAUUUUCUAAUUUCUGGUUUGCUAUUAUGCUCAUUUAUGCAUAUGAAACCCUAUUGGGGUUGUGUUUAGCAUUGCUAUAUGACUCGUUAUCGAGUCUCAUUGCAUUUGUUGCGUGAUUUUAGGGCGUGACGGUGGUGCACAACGUUCUUUUGACUAAAGUAUUUGAAACCGCAUUGUACUAGCUAGGUGAGUGUACUACUCACUUAUGUGCUAUUACAUGGCUUUGAUUUUUGUACUUGAGAUGUUGAAUGUUGAUUGAUCCAAGUGAGAGUGUACUUUAUCACUUUCACUUAUUGUUUCGCAUGUUAUUGGAAAGUUAUAUGAAAUGUUAUAUGAAAUGUUAUAUGAAAUGAAAUACAUGACUUCAAAUAUUAUCCAUGAGCUAACCCCAUUGGUUAUUGAUUGAAUCGAGCCGGCGAGGGCUUGGUCGUGCCAAUUAAUGCGCCUUGGGGCAACAUCAUAGGGAAUCUUGUAGUAUGAGAGACUCUUGAUUCCGGUUUACUCGAGUAAUACCACAAUGCAAGUGUUUGGAUUUCGGGCCCGGUUGAGGAAUGUUAGGAGGAAGGGAAUGGAAGUUAAGAGGAGUCUACGGUUGGUUACCUUUCAGACAUUGACGGAGAGUCAAUGAGACCUGAUCAAGAAUUCAAACGAGGAAAAAGGGCUCUUGAGAGCCACCCGUAUCCUUUUUUUCCUCAUUAUUAAUGUGUGGCUUUAUUUAUUUUGGUAAAUUGGACUGUUAAACUUGAUGUAUCCAUGAACUUGGUUGCUUGAGUUGUAUUCUCAUUGGGCAAUUAGCUCACCCCGUUCCUUUUGUUUUCCUUACAGGAAUAUGACUCUUUUGGAAUGAAUUUUGAUAAAUGGUUGCCGAAUGAACUAGAUGAAUGACUCUUUUGUAUUGUAUAUAAAAUGGGACCCUAAAUGUGUCAUUAGGCCGUUUUCACUUUUGUUUUGGCAAACCAUAUAUGUAGUGACUUUUGUAUCACUUUUAAAUGUCAUUUUUGGUUUGUAAAGGCUAAAUGUUAUGUGGUUUAUGUAAUUCAUAAAUUCGAUGUUUGGUUGGGUUCGGACGAGUCGGUUACUAUUCAUGGCCGACUCCGGAUUUUUUUCUUUUAUUUUGGGUUAUUUUGCCCUUUUGCCUUAUUUGCGCGCGUUAUAAGUUCCGGAACGUGAAAGAUCGCUCUAUACUGCACCGUUAGUCCUGGCGAGAGCUGGGCAGGCAGUCCGCUAACCUCUUUGGUUCGCCUUAGGGAAGGUGGGGCUGUCACAAUAAGGAAUUAAAAUAGAAAAUCAAUUUUCUUAUUCAGGAUAAUGCAAAUCUUUUUCGACUGAACAAGAAUCUGAAAGCUGAAAAUGAUAACUUAAGAAAUGUUGAGACUGAUCUACGUGCUGAACUUGAUAGAAAAAUAAAACUUUGUGAGUUGUUAAAAAAGGAACAAAGUAGUUUGAAAAGAAAAAUGAAUGAUCUAAAUGAAUUGUUUAAACACAAAAAAACAAGUCUGUUUUCAAAGGAAUGAACCAAAACCUCACUUUAAUAUUCAUAAGAAAAGGUUGAAUUCUAAUGCAAACGAAUUUACCAUUGAUAGAAGAAGACAAGUCAGAUUUGUUAAACCAGUUUAUGUAAGCAAUUUCCUAACUAUGUGUAGUUUCUGUUGUCAAGUUGGUCACAUGAAAAAUAAUUGUUAUGUAAGGAAAAAUAUGAAAAAUGGCAUGAAAUGCAUAUAGAUAGUUAGAUAUGUUGCUAACUCUCAAUGAUCCAAAAAAUUUUUGAAUACCAUAUAUUAGUUCUUGAUCUCUUGAGUAGGUGAAUUUGGUGAACAUUAUUAAGAAAGUAAAGUGGUUUAUAGACAAUGAAUGUUCAAGACACAUGACUGGUGAUCCAUCACAAUUCAUCAAAACUCAAGCUAAAAUCUUGUGGCAAGUGAUAUUUGGAGAUGACAUGAAAACUAAAACAAUUGGAAUAGGAGAUAUGGUAAGAUUGGUGAGAUUCUUGUUCAUAAUGUUCUUUUGCAAUCUUCUUUUGAUGUUUCUGAUGCUUUGAACUGAUUUUUUCUUGAUGUUUUUUCAUAUUACUGAAUUUUUACGAUAACAAAAAAUGGGGUGAAAAGAAUAAUGCUGAUCUAAUGAUGGUUUGCUUUGAUAAUUACUUUGACUGUUAUUUCUUUGUUUGGUAUCAAUUUUCUGUUUUUUGGCUGAUGAUUGCUGAAUGUUGGUAUGUUGAUGAUUACUGAAUUCUGGUAUCAUUUUUCUAUUUUUGUUCGAAUAUUGGAUUCUCUGUUAUUACUACUGGAUUAUGGUUGUUAAUUUUUACUCUCAUCUUAUGAUAACAAAAAGGGGGAGAAAUGGAUGCUAUGUGUAAGGGGGAGUUAUUAUAAAUUUAAAAUUUUGGAUGCAAUGAGUAAGGGGGAGCUUAUGCUCAAUCUUUUUUUCUUCCAUCCAUUAUUUUGCCAUCAUCAAAAAGGGGGAGAUUGUUGAUUUUAGUCCCUAUUUUUUGAUGUUUACAAAAUAAAUGGAUGAUACUAAUAUCUCUUCAAGAUAUACUUUCAGUUAUGAAGCUAAUCAAAUUCAAAAAUCAAACGCAAUUGAAAGAAACAAAGGUUGUUGAAAGCUAUCAGAUGCUUGUGAAGAUAGGAUCGGACGUUCGAUAAUCAUUGUGCAACUUCGGACGCAUGAAAAACUCCAUCACCGGACGUUCGAAAGAAAUAAGACAUUUUUCCUAAUUCACUGACCUCGAUCGGACGCAAGUAUCGGACGUCCGAUAGGAUCUUUCAAAUUCGACGAAAGCUUUCGAACGCUCACAAAGACAAUACCGGACGUCCGAUAGAAUUGAAAUAUUUUUUCUAACUCAUUGUCUGCUUUCGGACGCAAGCACCGGACGUCUAAUAGAAUUAAAAAAAAUCUUUUAAACCCACUGCCUACUGUUGGACGCAAGAAACCAGACUACCGGACGUCCGAUAUCCUAACGGCUAGUUGACUGUUCAGCUACUUUCUAUCUAUUGGAAGUAUUAAUGAAGCACUUUCUUGGUCUUGUAUAAAUAGUGCAUGAUCAGAAAUUUCAAAUAACUUUUGUACACUGAAAAAUACAAAAGAUCUAGAGUAAUUUUAGUGAGAAAAUGCUUUUCAAGAAAGAUUUGUAGUCUUAGUGGUGUGAAAUUCGUUGUAAGUUUUUUAUUUGUGAGUGAAUACUUCAAUAGUGUAGCUUUGUGAAGGUUAUCUUGAGAGAUAGUAAAACUUUCUAAUUUGACCAAGUGGAGAUUGGGACAAGGAAGAAGUGAACCUUCUUUUGUACACAAGAUUGGUUGUAUUUCGUCAAUUUGAAAAAUCUUAUUUGAAGUGGUCUAUAAGUUCAAGAGGAGCUUAGUAGUCAAUUGAUUUACAAUUCUUCUCUUCUUAUUUACUUAUUUUUAUGUUGUAAUUCUUAAAUUGCUUAUCUCUUCUACUUCUCUCAAGUGAUAUUGUUCAUUUAUUGAUUGAUUCAUUGUGUGAUCACUUAAAAAGAAGAUAAAUUUCAUAUUGAGUAAAAAGUGCCCAUAACUUGAUUAGUUUUCUAAUCAACCUAAUUCACCCCCUUUUUAGAUUGUUUUCGGGCUAACAGCGGCUGAGCAAAGUCGAGGACCGAGGGUCGAAAUAGGGGAUCAAGUAGCAACGGCGAUAUAACAAAUAACCAAUAUCUUUGCGAGAUUGGUAGAACAAUAAGGCCAAACUUCAGGGAAUCAGCCUAGGAAUCCUGAGAUAGGAGAGGAUAGAGCCCUAGAGCAUUUUCAAAAGUUUUCUCCACCAAAAUUUUUUGGAGGGCCUGAUCCGGAGACAGCUGAACAUUGGUCGGAGAUAAUGAUUAAUAUCUUUGCAGUUUUGAACAACACGGAGGAAAGACGGGUGAAUUUUGUUGUAUUUCAAUUCGAAAGACUAGCCUCGACAUGGUGGAAUGUUAUUAGGAAAAAUUGGGAGAGAGAACAGACUGUAUGGACUUGGGUAAACUUUAUGAGAGAGUUUAGAGGACGAUUUUAUUAGGUUACGUUAUGGAACCCUGAGUGUGGUUGAAUAUGAAACACAAUUCAUUAAAUUGUCCAGAUUUAUUCCUGAAUUGGUGAUUACAGAGCAAAGGAGAGUGAGACGGUUUAUACAAGAAUUGAAUCUAGAGAUCCAAGAAGCUUUAGCGACGGUUCAAGUUAAUACCUUUACGGAAGCUCUUGAGAAAGUUUAAAAGAUUGAGAAUGCGAAGGCACAAGUAAAAGUUUUUCAAAUAUGAAAAAGGGGUGCACCUAGUAGUACACAUGAGAAUACUAGAAAAAGGUUCUACAAGAGGAAGUCAAGUAGGAAAAGGGUAACAAGAGGAAAUUUCUCGAGAAAGCCAAAAAGUGGCUCCUCACUUGGCUUAUGAAUACUGUGAAAAGACAAAUCACACUGAGGAUGAAUGCUGGGUGAAGGGGCGAAAGUGCUUGAUUUGUAGGAGUACCAACCAUCAAAUUAGCAACUGUCCGAGAGAAACCAGCAACGAGGAAAUAAUGCUCAACAAGUGAAUAAAACUACCCCUAGACAAGCUAAUAAAAGAGGAAACAGACCAAGAGUGUCAGCGCGGGUAUACGCCAUAGACAAGUAACAGCUCCAGAGUCAUCUGAGGCAAUAGAAGGUAAAAAUUUCAAGGACGAAAUUUUCUUAAGGGGGAAAGAGUGUAAGAACCCAAAAAUUAUUUUAAAUUUUCUCCUAUUUUUGAAAAAUUAAUUUAUAUUUCCUUUUAAUUUUACUUUACUUGAUUAUUUGCUUGCUUUAAUUUCAUGGUGAUUUUAUUUGUUGAGUCAAGAUUUUAUCAUUCUCCUUUUAUAUUUUAGUGCAUGUUAAGUUUUGUAGAGCAUAAAGGUAGUUUGACCGACUAGUGAGAUGUGCGCGUUAAAAUUUGGUAGACGAGAACGAGUGUGGUACUAGAGGAAUUAUGGGAUUAGAAGUAUUAAAAGUGUACUAGAGAAACCCGAGUUAUCUUGGAGAUUAGAGACAAACAAGAGACAAAGAGAUAGGUGUUACUCUUGCUUCGCCACUUGUCGAUCAUCCAUCAAGUCUUGACUAAGACUUUGACUAAGAGAAAACUUGUAUUUAUCUUUCAAAUUAACACCAAAAUCCCUUCAUCUUUUCCUUGCAUUGGCCGAAAUUAGAGAGGAGAAAGGGAGAGAAAAAGAAACCAACUUCUAGCCUUGAUUUCUUGUUCAAUCCAUGAGAAAUCCAAACACCAACCCUAAUCCAUACCAAGUAAUCUUGAGUUAAGCUUGGAGGGAAGCUUUUGGUGGAGUUAUUUGAGGAAGAAAACUCUUGUUUUGCAACUUAUCUUGGGGUUUUGAGGUAUUAUACUAAGAACCUCUCUUUUUCCUUCUUAUUUUGCUAUUUAAGUAAUAUAUGACUUGAUUGUGAUGAAUUUUAUGGAAGAUUUCAUGAUUUGCUUAGUAGGUUGUAAUUUUCAGUUUUGAAAUUAUUGGACAGCCUUGAUAUGAAUGGUUUAGCUUUGAUAUGAGGUUGGAUAAACUUUUUAGCCUUGAGAUGAGGUUUUCUAGCUCCUAUGUGUGAUUUUUCAGCUUUAGUGGCUAAUUUCCAACUUUGAGAUGAAAAUUUCAGCUUUGGUGUAAGUGACUUGGAGCUUGAUAUAUAUGUUUAAAAUUAAUAGUUUUGUAACUUAGUGUAUGCACCAUUUGUCCCCUACAAUAUGUGUUCUUGAUUGGGAUUCAUUUACUAUGAAAUUAAGAUUUGAAUUGGAUGAUUAAUUUAAAGAGAUAUGGAGACAUAAUGUUGGAUUUUCUCCUUGUUGGUUGAAGAGGUGAUUUUUGGCGGGUAAUUAGUCCAACCGAAAUCAGCUCUCUGGUUAAUGUGGUGAGGUGAACUCGAUUAUCUCACCUAGGGUGGAAUGAAGUGAGGUUGCACGGUCGAAGUGGAGGCGGGGCUUUUCCCCUGGGAUCACUCCGACGAUCAAGUUAGUAUGAGAACGAGAAUAAUAAGAGUAUGAGUGAGUGAACAGUAUGCUUACUUGUUGGGAGUGUGUGUGGGGUAUUUAUAGGAGAGUAGAGGACAGGACGGAAGGCUCAUGCUAGUGGGACCCACUGUCUGGCAUUACGGCUCUGUCCCCUGUCAGGAGGCCUGACCCUGACACUGUAGCCUUCUGGGUAUGAUGACGGAGAGUAUUGUGCAGGUGCCAUUAAAUGCCUCCAGUGCUUUUCAGAUAAAGCACUGGUCCCGGGUGAUGUCAGGUGGCUUGACAUCAUCAGCGUGCAGCUGAGGUGGAGGUGCCGAUGUCACCUACACGGUAGACUAGGGAUCCGGCCGAACUCAGGGGUUAUACUCAAGACACGGAUGAGCUCUGAUGAGGGACGAGGUGGGUUCACCUCGGACAUGCGGGGUGGCCGAGGUGACCAUCCUCAAUAAGCCCCCCAAGCCUCUGGAGCUCCGGGCCAGGGAGGUACCGAGGCUUCCUUGUGCCGAAGUCGUAAAGAGUCGGGGUCCCGAAACUGCUCCGGAAGAUGCGGGGACGUGACACAUGGGCGAGUCAGUUGACAGGACGUGGUCACUGGUAACCGUCGCGUCGUGAAGUAGUGGGACGUUUCGUGUAGAGGGUGUCAGUCGAAAGGACGGGGCAUUAAUGAGGAGAGAGGGAGGCACGGCGUUUUGAAUUCGAACGUGGCCGUCUUUUCUCAUUCUUGCCGCCUCUUCGGAUUCCCCCCAAACCCUUAUAAAUAGGGGGUCUUUUUCACCGUAUGGCCCAUCACUUUCUUUCUUUGCCUGCGACUUGCAAAAUUUACGAAUGUUGCCGAGAUCAAUCCUGCCAGCCGAGAUCCCAGCCGAACUCAUCAUCUUCGUUCGAUACCGUAGUCAACAGUAAGUAAUUUUCUUUCCAUCUCGUCUUACACACAUGGCCAAAAUAGCUAAGACCCAUAAAGAAAUCGUGACACCGACCUACCAGACCGAGAUGAGGCCGGAUCCUGAAGAAGUGACGACGUCCAGCUCUGAGGGGUCGACGCCGAGUUCUGAGGAAGGAUCAGCCGAGGUGAGAGCCGGCGAGGCAGGCUCGGAAUUGGAGUCAUCCGAGAUGAGCGAGGGUGGUUCCGAGGUCGUCUACGAUACCGAGCUCGGGACCGAGAUACCCCAUGACGAGGGCAUACCGGAGCCAGUCGCUCCGAGAGACGCGACCAACAUCGACUUCGGCAAGAUGCCGAAGUUUAGAAGUCGCAUAGGAAGAGAUAGGGCCGAAAAGGUGUUAAACAAGUACCCUUUCCAGCCGGGGUAUAUCAUCACACCGCCCGGGCCAGAUGACUCAGCCGAGAAGCCCCCCAUGGGCAUGGUGGCCAUCUACGUCCAACAGUUGGAGGCCGGGCUGAGGAUGCCGACGUCGAGAUUCUUGAGAGACGUACUUCGUCACUUCCGCGUGAGGAUGACUCAACUCACUCCAAACGCCGUCCGCAUCCUCGUAGGCUUCGAGAUGUUGUGUCGACAUCAGGAGGUGACUCCCUCUGUUGAUCUCUUCCGCCGAUGCUACACUCUCAAGGCGCAUGGGACGGACAAGGGAUGAUUUUAUAUCUGCAACCGGAACAAUGCCAUCCCGAAGUUCGUGAUUAGUGCUCCCAGUUCGAUCAAGAAUUGGAAGCGCGACUUCUUCUUUGUAUCCGGAGUGGACUUCCCCAGGGGUUUUUGGUGAAGGCCAAUUAAAGCGAAAGCCGACCCCUCCGCAGGGGAUGCCGAGGAGGAGGCCUUCCAGAAGCUAAUGGGGUCAGGACUUCGGAUAUACAGUUUGGACUACCCCGAAGCCGUGCUGGUUGACGGGGGAUUAGCCGAGUUUUGCUCAGUCCUGACAAGGCUCCCUUCACUUCCACUAAACUUAAAAAACCUUGUAAUUUUUCUUUCAUGGCUUUUCUUUCAUUUCGGCUGUGGCAAAUAAUAAUGUUUGUUUCUUGUGCAGUGGUCAAAUUGUCCGAUAUCGUCACAUCGGGUUCGGCCGAGGUGGCCAAAAGGUCGAAGAGGAAGAGCUCCGAUGAGACGUCGGCCCCUCCGCCGAAGAAGAAGUCACAAGGGCAGGCCGCCAAGAUUUCGGCGGCCAAGAGCACUCCCGCCACGGCAGCCCAAAGCAGCUCGGCCGCCGCGGCUACUGGGUCUACCUCUCCUGUGUCAAAGGGAGUGCCUCUUGAAAUUGUCAGGGCACUCCCGCCUCCUUAUGGCCGAGGUAAGCAGCUGAAGCACCCAAUCAAUCCGGUCUCGGGGACCUCACUAUGGAACCGUUUCCAUAGCCCCCGGUGUUUUCUGGGAAGGAGAAAACGCACCCCGGCGAGCAUUGGUGUCCGAACUGGACACUUACGGUCAACGACAGGUGCAGCCAUCCUUGGGUUGCACAAGAGCUGGUGAUGCAGUCCACCUUGCCAAGGGACUUGGAGUAUAUGAAGAAACUGACUCCGGCCGAAGUGGUUCAAAGCCUCAUGGUGACCACAGCCUCCAACUCAACCUUUGUGGGCGAGAUGACACACCGAUACUGUGCUCUGGUCGAGGAGCAGGACUCCGGCAAGUUACAAAAUCAGAUCUCCAAGUUGAAAAAAAAACUGGCCGUGUCAGAGUUUGAGAAGACCGAGCUUUAAGGACAGCUUAAAGAGGCCGAGACGAAGGAUGAGGAGGUCGUGGCUACACAAUCAACAGCCUCAAUCGGCUCUCGAAGAAGAGCAGAAGAGGGGGGACGAGGCGAAGAAGUCCCACGAACAAGACCUCGAGAGUGCUGGGGCCUCGGCUGUGAACGCAUUUCGGAGGUCCGAGGACUUCACCCGGGAUCUCGGCCAACUACUCGCGCCGAGCUUCAUGUUCGGCUUCACGUCAGUCGUGGAGGAGGCCGCAGCUCACCUCUCCUCUGAAGCCUUGGAGUCUCUGAAAGACAAUGCCAACUACAAUGAGGACUCCAAGGAAUUGUGCGAUCGGAUGGCCGAGGGCCUCCAAGCUGGAAGGAACUUGUCCGAAGUCCGGGACGAAUUCAACAAGUGACUGUCCGAACUCGACGAGGUAUUCGAGGUGGGCGAUGGAGUAGGAGCUGGGGGAGACGUCGGCGAACAGCAGGGAGGAGGAGAUCUUCACCCCGGCGGGGAAGAGACCGGAGAGAAGGCUGUCCCGGAGGGAGCCGAGACGGAGGAGAGAGCCGAGACAGGGGUCGGCUUGUAGUCAUUUAGGUAGGGUUCCGAGGUGGGAGAUGCUUAGCAGCACUCCCUACCUCAGCCUUGUAUUCUUUUUUGUGUUGUCCUUUCAUUAAAUGAAAUGUUUAUUUCUUCUUAUUUUGGCACUUUAAUUUCUUGUCUUGACUUCGUCCCUUGCUUGUCCCCUUAUUUUUGAAUAGCGUAAUAUCGAUGUUGAAAAAUAACAUAACAUCCGAAGUCAUUACUUGAUUAAAAAUUCAAGAAUAAUACAUUUUGAGGUUCUCGGCGUGCCAAGACCUCGGCACUGGUGAACCAUCUCGGUAGCUCAAUUUACAAUAUCCCUUAAGGUCAGAUUCCACAACUCGGUAAGGGCAUUCCCAUUUCGGGCACAAUUUCCCUUGCGGUUCAGCUCGGCUGAUCGAGUUUUUUCUGAGAACCAAGUCUCCAGGCUGGAAUCUACGGUGUCUGACGCGGGCAUUGUAAUAGUGUGCCAGUGUGUUCUUGUAGGAAGCUAUCCGGGCUGAGGCGAGGUCCCUUCGUUUCUCGACGAGGUCGAGAUCCAGCUGUCUCUCUUCGUCGUUCACCUCGGCGGCGGCAUAGGCUGCCAGCCGAGGGUUGUGGGUAAGGAUCUCAGCCUGGAUGACAGCCUCGGCGCCGUAGGUCAGGGAGAAGGGGGUCUCUUGCGUUGCUGAACUCGGCGUGGUUCGAUACGACCACAGGACACUGGAGUUCCUCCACCCAAAAUGACCCAACUCAGUAUAGUCGGGUCUUGAGACCAUGCAGGAGAGUUCGGUUGAAGUUUUCUGCUUGACCGUUGGCCUGGAGGUGGCCCACCGAAGUGAAAUGUUGUUUGAUGCCAAGGUUUGUGCACCAAGUUUUAAAGGGGUUCUCGGCAAAUUGCCUUCCAUUAUCCGAGAUGAUGACCUGAGGUAUGCUGAAGCGGCACACGAUGCAUUUCUAAAAGAAUUUUUGAAUUGCCAGCCCGGUGAUGGUCCUCAGAGGCUCGCCUCAACCCACUUGGUGAAAUAAUCCACAGCGGUUACCAGAAAAGUAUAACUCCCGACGGCUCUGGGGAAAGGACCUAUGAUGUCUGUCCCCCAUUGCUCAAACGGUCAAGGUGAAGUGAUGGGAACCAUGAAGCUUGCGGGCUGGUGAUGUUCGGGUGCGUGGACUUGGCAGGAAGGGCAGCCGAGAACGAGAUCAUGGGCGUCUUGCCGAACAGAGGGCCAGAAAUAUUCGAGAACCAAAGCCUUCUUGGCUAGUAUUCUGUGGCCAACGUGAGCUCCACACAGGCCUUCGUGGAUCUCGUGGAGGACAUGGCGUCCUGCCUCGGGGUGACACACCUCAGCCACGGGCCGAGGUAGGAGCGCUUAUACAGUUCUCCAUCGCGGAGAGCAUACCGAGCAGCCUUGCGUUGUAUCUUCCUCGCCUCGGCUCGGUCUUCGGGAAGGGUUCCCUGACCCAAGAAGAGGAUGAACGGGGUCAUCCAAGUAUCUUCAGAGUACACAGGGUAGGCCACCUCCUCCAUGUAUCCCGAUUCAUUCAGGACUUCCACUAAGACUGUUUUGUUGAGGUCAGAGAAUGAUGUGGAAGCCAGCCGGGAUAAGGCGUCGGUCCGCUUAUUCUGGGACCGGGGUAUCCUUUGGAUUUCGAAGGACUCGAAGUACGCGGUAAGUUGAUGAACUUUGGAGAGAUACCGUUGCAUGGUCUCUUUCUUGGUUUUGUAUUCACCAAGAACCUGGCGUACUACUAGUUGGGAGUCAUUGCGGACAUGGAUCUGUUGGGCUCCGAGUCUACGGGUUAGCUGGAAUCCAGCGAUCAGAGUCUCGUACUCGACUUCAUUAUUGGUGGCCGGGAAGCCAAAGCGGAGGGCGUACGAGCACACCUCUCCCUGAGGUCCUUCCAGGAGCAGUCCGGCUCUGCAGCCAUCUCCAUUAGAGGAUCCAUCGACAUACAAUGUCCAUGGGGGUGGGGUGGACACCUCGGCACUGGCGGAGGUGGACUCUGGACCUUCCGUGAAGGUCAGCUCGGCGAGGAAGUCGGCUAAGGCUUGUGCUUUUAUGGCAGUGCGGGGCUCAUAUGACAAGUCAUACUCUCCCAAUUCGACAGCCCAUUUGGUGAGGCGACCAGAAGUCUCGGGACGCACCAAUAUCUGCCGGAUGGGCUGGUCGGUCCUGACGGAGAUGGGAUGAGCCAGGAAGUAAGGCUUCAGCCGCCGGGUUGCGUGGACCAGUCCUAGUACGAGUUUCUCCACUUGGGUGUACCGAGUCUCUGGCCCGCGGAGAGCUCGGCUGACAUAGUAGACUGGCACUUGAGUGCCCUCAUCUCGGAUAAGCACAGCGCUGACAGUCUCGUCGGCUGCGGAGAGGUAGAGGUAGAGCUUCUCCUCGGGCCGAGGUGAAGCGAGAGUGGGUAAGUGAUGGAGGUAUUGCUUCAACUUGUCGAAAGCAGACUGGCACUCUUCCGUCCAGGCAAAUUGAUCAGCCUUCUUGAGCACCUUAAAGAAGGGCAGAGCCUUCUCAGCUGAUUGGGACAGGAAGCGGUUCAGCGCGGUCAGGCGUCCAUUCAGCCUUUGGACUUCUCGGAUGUUCCGAGGUAGGGACAUGUCCUGAAUGGCCUUAACCUUGUCGGGGUUGGCCUCUAUUCCCCGGUGAAAAACCAGAUACCCCAGGAAUUUUUCCGAGGUGACGCCGAGACGCACUUCUUGGGAUUGAGUUUCAUCCUUGAGUCCCGUAGGACACCGAAGACCUCCCUUACGUCCGACAGAAAGGCUGAAGUGGUGAGGCUUUUGACGAGAAUGUCGUCCACAUAGGCCUCCAUAUUACGGUCGAUCUGAUUUUUGAAGAGUCGGUUGAUCAGCCUUUGGUAGGUCGCUCCGGCGUUCUUUAGGCCGAACGGCAUGGUAGUAUAACAAUAAACACCUUGGUCGGUGUAGAACGCCGUCUUCUCUUGAUCCUCUUCACUCAUUCCUAUUUGAUGGCACCCUUUGAAGGCAUCCAGGAAGCAAAGGAUCACGUGUCCCAUUACCGAGUCGACAAGGGCGUCUAUUCUCGGCAGAGGGUAGCAAUCUUUGGGGCAGACCUUGUUGAGAUCAGUGAAGUCCACACACAUUCUCCAACCACCGAUAUCCUUUUUGACCAUGACUGGGUUGGACAGCCAGGUGGGAUAUUGGACCUCUUGGAUCAUCUUGGCCGGCAAGAGCUUGUCGACCUCAUCCGAUAUGGCCUUGCUACGUUCGGGGCCGAAGUGCCUUCGUUUCUACCGCACAGGUCGCGCCUGUGGGUUAACGUUGAGCUAGUGAGCUCGGGUGGCACUCCGACCACUUCAUCAGCGGACCACGCGAAGACGUUUCGGUGGUCCUUGAUCAAGGAGAUCAUUUCUUCCUUUAGGGGCGAGGGGAGUCCGGCCCCUACUUGGACCACUUGAUCAGGUCUCGCCUCAUCCAAGACCACUUGUUCCACCUCAUCCCCGAGCUCAAGUCUGCUGGGCUCUCCUGCCUUCUGAGGGUCGAUGCAGUCUAUGGAGAGAACAGCCGGCCUCUUCUCUUCUGACCUCGGCGAGGGCCGAGGUGCGACUGCUGCUUGGAUGGUGGCGAGGUAGCAUUCCCGGGCGGCGCUCACGUCGCUGCUCACCUCGGCCACCCCCUCUGGCGUUGGAAACUUGAAACUCAGAUGGUAGGUAGAGUACACAACUCUCAAGGCAUUGAGCGUGGGUCGGCCUAUCAGCAUGUUGUAAGGAGAGUCCGCUUUGACCACCGCAAAACUGACAGGCACGGUUCGGCAGUGGGGAUGGCGCCUGAUAGCCACCAUCAAGGUCACCAUACCCUCCGGGUGUACGACGUGUCCCCCGAAGCCGAUGAGGGGAGUUCUGACCGGAGUGAGUUGCUCCCGGGUCAACUUCAAACUCUCGAAAGUUCGGUAGUACAGGACGUCUACCGAGCUUCCGGGGUCAACAUAGACCUUUUUGACUAUAUAAUUAUUAGUAAGGACCUCGAUCACUAGGGUCUCGUGAUUAUUGGAGGCGGCGGGUACAGGGUCACAGGGACCAUAGGUUAUAUCCUCGGACAGCCUAGAAUUUUGCUCGGCCACCUCCAUACCGGCUUGGCGGUAGGUCCUUUUUCGGGAGUUCUGGCUGUCUCCUCCCGUGGGGCCACCCGAGAUAGUGUUGAUCACCCAGACAAUAUUUGGGUCAUAGCCUGGUGAUCCGUCGCGUGGAGGCCUCUGAUCCCCCUUUCGGUCCUCGGGACCUCGGCAUUGAAGUUUAGUGUCCCGCCUGUCUUCUCGGCGAGGACCUCGGCUCUCCCGGUGGGAGGCGCUUCGGUUAAAGCCCCCAUCUUUACGGACGAAUUGCUUCAAGUAUCCUUGUCGGAUCAGGUUUUCAAUUUCUUGCUUCAAGUCGUUACAGUCGUCGGUCUCGUGCCCCACAUCUCGGUGGUAGGCACAGUAGAGGUUGGAAUUCCUCUUAUCCCUUCUUCCUGGGAUCUCAGGAGGAGUUCGACGUAGGUGAUUCUGCCUAAUCACAGCCAAAAUAUGGGAUCGGCUGGAAUUGAGGGGUGUCAGCUCGGUGUCCGAAGUGGACGACCUCCCUUCACGAUCCGAUCGAAGAUGCUUCGGCGGUCUCGGAACUGGCUGGAUGAGCUACCGGGGCCUUGUUCAGUUCGGCCGGUGUCCUUUCUCCUCCGGGAUUCUUGCCCGGUACGGGCUGCUUGGGCCUCCUGCUUCAUGCGAUUCACGUCCUCACUUUGGAUUCCUUGGUCAACUCGUUCCCAAAGUUUCCGAAGUGUGCGGGGGUAGUCUCGAUGUAUUUCGGUGUUGAAGAUUCCCGCAAUCAGCCUGUUGGUGAAAGCGGCUAUGGUAACUUGCUCAUUUUGAUCAGGUAUCUGUAUGUUCUCCUCAUUGAACCUCUGCGCAUAUGAGCGCAGUGACUCGCCGGGAGUCUGUUGCAAAUUCAGGAGGUAAGCUGAAGUCUUUGUAAUGGGUCGGGACGACACAAAGCGGUGGACGAACCGGUCUAUCAGCUCAUCCAGGGAGGAAAUACUCCUUGGUUCUAAACUCCAGAAUCACUUCCGGGCAAUCUCAUGUAAGAAGAUGGGAAAAACCCGACAGAUCACGGCGUCAGGGAGGCAGUAGAGUCGGAAUGCGGAGAUGAAGGCGCGGAGGUGAUCCUCGGGGUCACCUCGGGCGUCAUAGGUGUGCAAGUUUGGAAGCUUAAAGUUCGGGGGCACCAUCUCCCCAUUGAUGUCAUCAGUGAAGGGCGGAGCCCUCAUGUAGUCAGAAGCUAGGCCCCCGGGGCGCCGAGGUGGGUCCUCGACUCGUUUUCCUACUAGUCCCAGGGAAAACGCCCGGGAGAUGGAGGCAAUUUUGGAGGUUGCCUUGGAGGAGGCGCGCCUGGAGGUACUCCGAGAUAAACGCCCCUCCUCGGAGUCCUCACCUGAAGGUAUUUCAGGGGAUUUCGUCGAUCUCCUCUUGGAAGACUCGGCUUUUUCUUUCCCUUGCCUCUUGAGAUAUCUUCCUAGCUCCUAAAAAAUGUUGGGUUGUCCGUGACGAACUAGGCCAUCUUGGCGAUGGCGUCUUCGUUGUUGGGCUGGGUCCUUUGGGACCCUUGCUCUUCAGAAAUGCAAUCUUGCUGGGCUCCCGAGGUCUGCCCAGCCCCGUUUGAGGGAACUCUUCCGCUUCUAGAGCGCGUGGAUCUCAUUUUAGUAGUAAUCUCUUUCCCACAGACGGCGCCAAUUGAAGAGGUGAUUUUUGGCGGGUAAUUAGUCCAACCGAAAUCAGCUCUCUUGUUAAUGUGGUGAGGUGAACUCGAUUAUCUCACCUAGGGUGGAAUGAAGUGAGGUUGCACGGUCGAAGUGGGAGGCGGGGCUUUUCCCCUGGGAUCACUCCGACGAUCAAGUUAGUAUGAGAACGAGAAUAAUAAGAGUAUGAGUGAGUGAACAGUAUGCUUACUUGUUGGGAGUGUGUGUGGGGUAUUUAUAGGAGAGUAGAGGACAGGACGGAAGGCUCAUGCUAGUGGGACCCACUGUCUGGCAUUACGGCUCUGUCCCCUGUCAGGAGGCCUGACCCUGACACUGUAGCCUUCUGGGUAUGAUGACGGAGAGUAUUGUGCAGGUGCCAUUAAGUGCCUCCAGUGCUUUUCAGAUAAAGCACUGGUCCCGGGUGAUGUCAGGUGGCUUGAGAUCAUCAGCAUGCAGCUGAGGUGGAGGUGCCGAGGUCACCUACACGGUAGAUUAGGGAUCCGGCCGAGCUCAGGGGUUAUGCUCAAGACACGGAUGAACUCUGAUGAGGGACGAGGUGGGUUCACCUCGGACAUGCGGGGUGGCCGAGGUGAGCAUCCUCAAUGGUCAAGUGAGGGUUGAGGUGUAAAUUUUGGGUAUUUUAUUUUCCUCUUGCAUAUGAUUUUACUCAAAACACUUGUUACAAUCUAUCUCUUUACAUAUGUGUUAGUUUUGAGCCAAAAUAAAGAGGUUUAAGAAGAGAAAAACCUAGUUUUCCAAACUAAUUGCUUGCUGAAAAAUUUUCAUAGGAAGCCCUGCGCAACUUUGGGAAAUUGGCUAUAACUUCGUAUAAAAAAGUCAAAAUUGAGUUCCGUUUAUUGCGUUUGAAACUAGACUCAUAGGUCUUUCAACGGUAUAAAUUUUAGGGUUUGGUUCAACUUCUAUAAAUACUAGCAAAUCUACAAAUUUUCUUGAAAACUAUAACUGUUCUGCUUUUGCACAUGAGAUAGCAGUAAGUUUGAACUCAAAUUUGACUAACCUAUAAGUUGAAUUUCAUGAAAAUGUCUUCUAAAACCUGUUAGUGCUUCGAGCAUAUUUUCUAAUGGUGUAAGGUUUGUGAUUUUUUGACAUACGGAACUCAAGUUAUGCUCUUUCAAAAAGGAUUUUGUCAAAUGAAUUAAGUGGGACUUGAAAAACUUUGAAAAUUUUUUUUUAGGUCUUAAACCUUAAUUUGGUGUGAUUUUGGAUGCUUAAAUUGCUUUCCUCUCUUUUAGAAUACUUGUGUUGGAUUUUAUCUUAAAGUCUCGAGUUCAAAGUGAGAAGCAUAUGGAAUUCCUUGGAAUACUAGACGUGUAUGUUUUGGCUACUUGAAUGUACUAAGUUUAAAUCUAUUGUAAUUGUGAAUCUUGACUCAUGGUUUGGUAGAGAUUAAGGUUAUCAUCCAAAGAGUUGACGUUUAAUCUACUGAUAUCGGUGAGUAUUCUUUGCAUAUUGUAUUUCAAAUGACCAAAAGCUUUUCAAUGAUUGUUAAAUGGAUUUUCAAUGGGCGAGUAUGUACUUUAUCGCACUCAACGUAAGUGAAUGUGGAUUUUCAAUGAUCAAAUGAUUGAAUGUUACUUCUGCAUGAAUGUAAAUCUUUGGCUGAAUUAGAUCCUUGCCCUUCGUUACCAGUUCACUCGAGUCAGAAGCGGAUUUGAUCUUGCGGCUGGUGACCCUGAGACAGUGUUUGGUAUACUCGAGUAUGACCACGAAAUCUGGUGAAGUACCGGCCAGUGAAUGAAAUGCAAUGAAUGAAAUGACUGGUUGAAUGAAAUGAUCACCGUUGGAGUUUUAUUUCAAAUGUUUUCACAUGUUAGAGGUAUAAGGGAGAAAUGGUCGGACACUGAAUUACUGAAUAACUAAAUGAAUGAAUGGUUCCAAGUGAGCACGUAUCUUUCCAAUGAUUGAAUGUUCAUUUCUUGAAUGACUGUUUAUUACUGUGUAAAAUGUGCAAAUUGUUAAAUGUGAUAUUUCCAUAUUUUAUCUACCUGAUUGCUUGUUUGGGAAUCUCACUAAAUUUUUAACUCAUUCCUUUAGUUUUAUUUUUCUUACAGGAGUGGAGGCCAGAGCAAGUAAGCGUGAAAUAGUGUGAAUAAUCUUCAUGUACUAGUACUUUUGUAGAUGAAAUGUAUUUGGGAUCUUUGUUAAUGAAAUCUUAUGUUUCACUUUUGGGUUAUAAAUUAAGUUGGAAUUCUUGGAUGAAUGGAACUUUUUAUAUUAAUCUAGAGGUGUGAAAGACUAUUUCAAGAAUGUUAGUGAAUAAGUCCUGACGAGAAUUGGGCAGGUGGUCUGUUGAAAGGUUCACUUUAAGGGGAGGUGGGCUUGUCACAAUUUUGCACAGUAUCAAAUCUGAAAAAAAUAAUUGAUAAUUGCAAUAUUAUUUGACUGAUAAUUGUGAUUAUAAUUGAUGCUAUAUAUUUUUUAAAAAAAUCAUAUCAAAUAAGAAAUAAUAGUGGUCACAAUGGGAUCACCUACAAGAUAGUGAAAAAGACAGGGAUAAAGUGGCAGUUGGGGGAUUUUUUUUAUUUAAUUUAUGGUAUAAUCCAAUAACACAGUAUGCAACGGAAGAAUAUUAUGGUGAAUAUAAAAUAGGAAAAUACUACAAUAUAAAAUUUGACUGCUGAAAAAUUAGGAAACUUGGAGGUAAUUUGGGAAGAAAAAUAUGCACAUGAGUUGGCCAAAAUUAAAAGUACAAAACAAAAUUCAUUUAGUGGGCAAAAUGUGUAUUUUUUAAGUAUAGGGUGGUAAAGUGUCAUCGCCCCAUAGGUUCAGGGCGUCAAAGUGUUAUUAACCCUAUCGUUUAUUCAUUAUGCAUAUGUUUCACAUUAACUCCAUCUACUUUUUUAAUUGCAUAUUCUCUCAAGGAAAAUGUUUUCAAAAUUUUUUGACAAGCAUUCAAUUGAUAGAUAGUAUGGGGACUACAUGUAUACUUUACUUUCUCUCUUCUCUUACUUCCCUUUAAACUAUUUUUUCCUUCUCUCUAAAAUACUUUCAAUCAAAAUCUCCUCCAUCUCUCCCACAGGAGAAAAACCAAAUCUAGUCUUAGGGAGUAAAAUUUUAUCUCUCUUGCAUUUCUCUCGGAGAGGCUAAAAUGUUAUUAAAAAAAAUGUCAAUUCAAAGAAGAUAAGUGAGAUUUGGAUAGAGUGUUAUUUGAAAUAUUAUUUGGAAUAAUUACUGUAACACUUUUUGUGAUGUGAUGUAUGUGAGAUAAAAAAAUGGUUGGAAAUAUAAAAAGAUAUGUUAGAAAAUGUAUUUAUGAUGCAAGCGAAAUAUUAUUUGAAGAAAUAUGCUAUCCAAACACUCCUGCACUUUGCCCUUUUUAUCAAGUUAAAUCGACUUUGACCGUCAAAAAAAUGGCCAAAGCUUCAGCUAUGCCUUAUUUCUAAUUUUUUUCACUGCUCUUCUCAUGAUACAAGCUUUCGCCUCAUCACCUAUUUUGGUGCUGCAAUUUUUUCUUUUUUCCCUUUUUCUUUUGGAAAGUGAAGAAUUAAGUCCCAAUAUUCCACUUCUAUUUUUUUUAUAAAAAAAAAACCAUGUCAUAAAAGUCAAUACAUUCGAUGACACCUUGUUAUUAUUUAAGGUAUGCCUUCUCAAUUUUUGAACAUCAACAAGUGGAAGUGAGAUGUAAAUGUAAUAAAAUAUCUCCCAUAUGUAUGCCAAGGACAUAUCAAAAUUUAGAGAAUUGUAGGGUAUUCAUUUUUUAUAAUUUUUUCAUAAGUCCUUUUAGUGUUGACAAAAUGGUGUUAUUUUAUAUUUGUCAAUAGAUUCCAAAAAUAUGUGAUCUUUUCAAAUGGUUGCAUCCAUUCUUAACUCUGUGUGUGUCAUACAUACAUACAUAUAUAUGCACACACACCUACAUAUAUAUGUAUAUAUAUAUAUACUAGGAAGGGACAGCCCGCACGACGCGCGGGAAUUUGGUGCUUGUGAUUCAAGAUAAUUAAAAAUUAUUGUUUAAUAUUUUGUAGUAUAGGAACUGAAGUAUGAUGAUUUUAUCGUGUGAUUUUAAAAGAAAAAUAAUAAGUUACAUAGUGAAUCAAUAAAAAUAAUGUGCAAUAAAACAUCCUUAUCGUUAUACUAUAUAAGAAUCUGUUGUGAUCAAAUGUUAUGUUUGAAUUUCAACUGCAAAGAUAAAGGUAGUUUGAAAAUGUAAAAAUGUUUGAAGUGCAAUUGAAAAGUAUCCAAAUGUCUCUUCUAAAACUUAUCCAAUAUGAUAAAAUAUUUUAAAGUAUCAAUUGGACCCUUCAUCUCUCGAAUCUAUAUAUAUUCGUGAAAGAUCCUCAAGCAAUGCUUCUGAUUUCUCCCUCGACUUAAGCUCAACCUGAAUUAUCAAGUCAAGUUUAUCCAUCAAUUACUUUGCGUCCAAUCUAAUCUAAAAUAAUUUUAUUUUUUACUAACUAUUUAUAUAAUUUGGUGGGUAUAAUACGACUUAAUCACAUGUUUCUUACAGAGAUAAUAAUAUCCAAAAAUGAUAGAUAGACAAGAAACUUAAAUGGUAUUUUUCAAAAUUUUGUAGAAACUAUUCAGAUUUGGUAUUUUUUGCUAGGGGUAUUUCUUUAUAAUCUCAUAAAUAAGUUCAAAUCUGCAUAAUUGUUAAAGAUCUGAAUUGAAACUAUCUUGAUUAUAAAAAUUGGUGCAAAAAUAUUCUCUAAAAUUGAAAUUGUAGAAAAUGGUAAGUAAAAUCAGAAGAAAUUCCUCAUAUGAAUUCGAAUUGCAAACUAUGGAUAGAAAUUGCUUAAUGAUAUUUUUCAAUGUUUACUUGUAUAAGUAUUCAAUAUAACAUCUCUACUUAAUUGACUCGUUUGAACUAUGGAUAAUAAUUGCUUCAAUCAAAUCAAAAAACAUUAUUUAUCAUUGUACAACUUACAAUUAUAAGUAAAUGAAUUAAUACAAUGCAAUCCAAAUGGUGCUGUAGUUAAAGCAUUUAAACUUAUCAAGUUCCAUUACAAAUUCUUUUACAUGGUAUAAAAAAACAAAUUUUUUGUAUUUGAAACUAUAUAAACAGUAUAAUACAAGAACGAGAUUAUAAGUUAUAACAUAGAAAGCAAACAGAGUGCAAAUGACAUCUUAGCACUAUGUAGCAUGAUUAAUUUUCUUUUUUAGUUUCAAUGAAGUAUAAAAUUCUAAGUUAAUAAAUUUUACAAUCAUAAAAUUCUCAAUUAAAAUAAACACAAGUUGAAUUUCAAAUCAUAUUACAUGAAAAAAUAACUACUUGAACCAUAACUACUGGAAUGUAGUCAACAGAUCCCUGAAGUCAAGAAUAAUAUGAGAAAGUUCAUGAAAAAUAAGGUUAUUUGACUUAAAAAAAGAGAUAAUACCUUGGUUGAGGAAGAAAAGAUGAUAAAAUUGCUUUUCUGAUUAUUUUAGAAAGCGACAACAUUAUCUCAAAUUGUACUUUGACCAGAGACAGAAUCUCUGGGAUCUACUAAGAAAAACAAUACAAUUAAUUAGUUUUUUGAAUUAGAAGUAUCAAAAGGCAAACUAUAUAGAGUUUUUGAAUAAAUCAAUCAUCAGAAAAAAAACUACAAUCGAAAAAGACAAACUCAAAGAACUCACCUCAAUUUAAAGGAAACCGAAAAAGAAGAAAGAGUAUCGGCUAAACAUGGGGAUAUAAAUAUGAUAAUGAUUGUUCAGAUAAUAAUUAAGUUAAUUAAUUAUAAUUAAAAUCCAAUUAUGUAAACAUCCAAUUAAUUCCUUAACGGAUGAUAAAGAUUUCAGAAAAUUGGAAGGCUUGGUUGUUAGUAUAAUAAAUGAUUAAAAGGACAUUUAUGUAAUUCUAUCAAAAUACAAACUUUAUUCAGUUGUACUUGAUACUCAAUUUGACACUAAAUAUUGUAACAUACCAAACCUGCCCCUAACCUUAAAUGUCUGAAAGGUUAUAUAAGUAAUUAUAGUGAAAUUAAAGUUAUAAUGACUUGUACUCAAUGUUUCAAUUACUUUUCAAAUAUUUUCACAUUCCCAAAAUAGCCUCACCCCUGCGGUUGAAAUUUAAUCCUAAACUCGUUCUUAUAUUAGUAUAAGGAUACAUGUGGAUCUCUUGUUCGGUUAUUAUUUUACUAAUUGUCAAUUAAGGGCAUUGAUUUUUUUUAUAGCAAAUCAUUAGAGUGAUCAUUAGUUAAGGAGGAAAGUAGAACAAAAUUAACAUUUAAGAGCAAAAGUGCAAAUCACCAAACUUUUAAUUGCUUAGUGCAUUUAAUCCUACAUAUAAUAAUGAAGAAUUCCAAAUUUAAAAUUUGAUACUAUAAAUCUAGAUCCUUUGAGUAAUACAAAACAAUAAAAAAAAAAAGAAAGACAAGUUUAACCAUCUCGCCAAGAAGAUUAAAAUUGUCAAGAUCUAUUUUUUUUUUAAGUAAAAAAUUUUAAAUCCAAAAUCUCUUAAUUAUAAUCCUUCCCACUUGCCGCUUAAUUCAACCCUUCCUCAUCAGAGGCCUACCUAACUGUUGACAAGAUAGUGGACUAAAGAAAAGAUGUGAGGAUUUAACGUGCCUUGUUAUGGCAAUUAUGUUCCAGGAGAAGAAAUCCACAUUUUCUUACCCUUCUCUUCGUCUUUUCGUCUAAAUGCCAUUUUCUUCCCCAUUAAGUCUACGAAAUGAAAGAUUUUUCUCGAUGAAAACGAGGAUAGCAUUUUCUUCUUCACUAAGAUUUAAGUCAAUAGUCCUUGGCCUUCAUAUAAUCAUAUGGAAAAGAAUGGCUGAGAGUCAUAAGUGAAGACGUAGACAAGACUCGAGAGCGAGCACCUAUGACGUGGCGAUUCCAUCCGCGUCAUUGUCAACAAUCCACCACCUGGCGGUGAGGGCACAGCAAGUAAGCCUGAUCAUUCAUUUGCUCUUUGCCCUUCCCGGUCAAACCUCAAGAUUCCUCCACGUAAUUAAAUUGCUUGAAGUCGAAGUUGAAGUUGAUUGUUUCUCGCUUCAAUUCUACAAGACAAAACAAAUAAAAAAAUGAAAAUAACAAAAACACUUGAAAUACGUGUCCUGAUGAGGUGGUAUAUCAUACUAAAUGGUUUUCACACCUAAUACGGCAUAAUUAUAGAAAACAGAACUACAUUUCCAUUAGUUGUUCUAUGGUUAAAUGGCGUUUCAAGAUUAUUGAUGCUAGUGUUUUUGAGUAAUCCAGAUCUUGCCACGAUUUCUGGUACAAGAGCCCAAACAAAUUUGUUCACGGAAUUGUAAAUUCUAGAAGGGUUGGAUUAAUCCUGGUCGCUCAUUUACACUACUUGAAAUACGGUCCAGCUUUAUAUUGACUCGGUCCGAAUGAACAAGCCAAGACAAGGUUUUUGUUGUUUUUUUAUUGUUCUAAUUAGGGAUGACAAUAAAAGUGGAUGGUCUCAUACGAUUCAAUAGAGUGGGAGAAGUGUAAGAUUGGGGUGAUUUUUCUCCACCCACUUUAAACAAGGCAGGGCUAGGGGAGGAUAUUCUCACGCCGUCCGUCCCGCCUUAAUUUAAUAUUUUAUAUAUAUAUAUAAUAUAAUUAUAACAUGUAAUAUCAAUGAAUAAUAUGAAAUUUUCUUGUGAUAAUAUAUUACAAUUUUUUGUUUUUUCCAUGUUAGUUUACUUUUUCUUUUCUUUUUUGGUUAUGGCAUGUUGCUUAUUAAAAAAAUAAUUAUAAUUGAUUUAGGAUUCAGUUUAUAUCAAACAAAGAGAAAUGGAUUCACAAGGUUAAAAUAAUUUUUAAACUUUAUCUCGAGUUAACUUUUUUUGUUGAAACUUCAAAAGAAUGAGUAAUAAAUCUAGUAUUAGUGUUACACAUAUAUAAAAAUAAAGCCACAUUAAAAAAAAUAGUAAUAAGGCGAGGUGAGGGCACCAUGAGGGAUAGCUAGUAGAGCAGAGCGGGGAUGGUUUAGUGAGAUAUGGGGUGGAGAUAGGAGGAGCAUUUAACUGAUGGGGAAUCGAUUCUGUUGGACAAAUUUUUUGGAAUAUUGGUAAAAAAAAGUUGAAAAAAUAGUUGGGUAGAGGGGUUUUCUUGUUAUAUGACUACCGUGGGCCUUUUUUUUUAAUAUGAAAUAGACACGUCGAGCUGAUUAUUUAUUUUGAGGUCCCUGCCACACAGUAGGGACUAUUUUACAAAUAAGGUUCGCCGUGUCUCGUGGAAAUGACGGACCAACUUUUAUUUACAUUUAAAAAUAAAAAACAGAAAAAAGGCAAACUUUAAAGCUAGCCGUUGAUCAAUGGCUAGUGACCUUACACAAUGGACCAGAGCGUACCGGCGGCAUGUGAAAAGCACCUAACUAGCUAAAUAUUGUACUGGGUAUUCAAGGGAUAUUCUACAAUAUGGUAUAGUGUUUUAGACCAUAUUUGUGGUAAAGUUGUGACAGACCAAUAAAUCAAGGGCAUAAGAAAGCACAGAAAUCAAGGCAGGCUAAUGGACUCACAUGAGCCGGUUACGCAACUCAAACAGUACAGGUUAUUGGGAAACAUGGGCCAAAAAAAUUGUAAUGGAAGAAGUGGAAGUUGUACCUUGACUAAAAAGAUUUUCAUCACUGCGAAAUGUUAAUGAAACUUCUAAUAUGUUAUUAGACUUAUGUAUAACUUGUAGACUCUAAUCAAAUACACAUAAUGGAGCAUCCCAAUUUAAGUGAACAAAGUCAAUUUCAUUGAAAAAAUUAAUAUGGAUCUAUCCCAAAAACACGUUUUGGGUAGGUAAUCAUAUUCAAUAGUUAAAAACGAUCACCUACUAAUUAACAACUUUAUAUAAAAGGAUAAUCACAAUUGUCACAACAAUAGGAGUAUAUUCGACAAUUUUGUUUUACCUUUAAAGUUUCAUGAUGCCCCUUACGUGACAAGAAUUGCAAUAAAUUGGAAUAAUUGAAUCUAAUUCAAAAAUUAACAAUUACCAACGAAGUAUCGUUAUUAAUCAGAGAGAGAACUUUGUGGAGUUUAGCAUUAAAUGGGAACAAUUUAAUGUAAUUUAAAACAUAUCAAUGGUUAUUAGUGGCGAACAAUCACCUUAUCACCUAAAUUUCUCGCUUAACUAAAUCUGCCUACUGAUUAACGACUUUAUAUAAAACAGGAUAAUCACGAUUGUCAUAGCAAUAGGAGCGUAUUCGACAAUUUUGUUUUACCCUUUAAAGUUUCACGAUGCCCUUUAUGUGACAGGAAUUGCAAUAAAUUGAAAUAAUUUAAUAUAAUUCAAAAAUUAACGAUUACCAAUGAAAUAUCGUUAUUAAUUAGAGAGAGAGCUUUGUGGAGUUUAGCAUUCAAUUGACCAAUUUAAAAAAAACAUAUCAAUGGUUAUUAGUGGCGAACAAUCACCCCUAUCACCUAAAUUACUCGCUUAACUAAAUUUACCUACUAAUUAACGAUUUUAUGUAAAAUAGGAUAAUUACGAUUGUCAUAGCAAUAGGAUCGUAUUCGACAAUUUUGUUUUACCCUUUAAAGUUUCACGAUGCCCCAUAUGUGACAAGAAUUGCAACAAAUUGGAAUAAUUGAAUCUAAUUCAAAAAUUAACGAUUACUAAUGAAAAUCAUUAGUAAUCAAAGAGAGAACUUGAAUUAGUUUUGCAUUAAAUUGGAUCAAUUGAAUGUAAUUUAACACAUAUAAACGAUUGUCAGUGGCUAAUGAUCACCCCUAACAACAAUUACUUGCUUAACUCAAUCUACCUACCUCCAAGUACCUUAUAUGAAACAAAGUAAUCACGAUUGUCAUAGCUUUAUUUAAUUGAGGUAAAUUAUCAAACAACCAUUUGGAAGCACCAAUUUUUCCACAAGUAAUGAUUAUCAAACUUAAAGUCACUUCUUUGUUUAUUUGGCAUGAAAAUAUUGUAAUUCCUAAUUAAAUGAUUAUGUGGGAGGGUAAAGGACAAAUCCAGAUUCAGUGGAUUGUAAAUGGUCAUACAUGGCCCACGUCAUAAGUUGGCUUCUUACUGAUAAUACAUUAAUACAGUAUGGCGUCCUCUUGACAAAUCAAACAUAACCCAUAUGCUUGAACAUAUCAAUGGGCUGUAUGAAUGGGCUGCAUAUCAAUGGGCUGCAUGAACGAUGCUUGACCAUAUGCUCAUUGUUUCACUCAUGCUUCCUGGACUCCAAAACAACUUCGGUCUUCGUGCACGAGCUAUUCAGUAUUUAGUCACUCCGGCAAACUAUGUGCAUUGUCUGUCCCCUUCCACGUCUCUCUCCGCCUAAUCUACUCUACGUCAUUGCCAAAAAUUGUUUCUUCUCCAUGUUUCUUCCCAAUUUGUCUUCCUGAUUUUUCCUUUGAUACUCUCUGCCUCUGCUUCUGCUUAUGCUUAUGCCGCUGACAGAGUAAAAGGGUGAGGUGUGGACAACUUCUUAUCCCUUCUUGGCCAUCCCGUCUUUUGGAACUAAAUUUCCAACUAGGUAGUCACGUGACAUGCUGGUCCUUAUUUCAAGCAUUCGGUUGCCGGUUAUUUUGUAUAUUUUUUCUUAGCUUCUUUCCUCCCUAUCUUUGUACGGAAUAGAUGUGACCAAACCAUAUACACCGUACUGGUUUGUGUCAGUCUAACACCAUUUCUGUGGUAUAAACCGCUAAUACCACACUAAAGAAGAUCCCGGGUAUUCAAUAUAAUCUUUUAUGUGUGGUUCUUUCCCAUUUCAUUGUCUAACAUAUAUAACCAAUCUACAUCUUAGUCCCCUAAACAACUUCAUUAUUAUAGUUCGUUUUCUUCUUUUUAUUUUCUUUUGAUUAAUAAAUUAGAAAACACUUCUGGUUCUCUUUUUUUUAAUAAUUUUGUACGACAUUUUAUUUACUUCAUGUUUUGCCUCAAAAGUAGAUGACAAUCCAAGCAAACCUAGGGGUCUGUUUGGAUUGUAAGUUAUUUGGGAUUAUUUGAGAUAUUUUUACUGUAGCACUUUUUGUGAUGUGAUGUAUGUGAGAUAAAAAGAUAUUGAAAAGAUAAAAAAGUGUAUUGAAAAUUGUAAAUAUGAUGUAAGCAAAUAAAAUUAGGAAAAUAUGAAGCAAUCCAAACAAACCCUAGUAUUCCCAACUCUCUAAGGCUGGUACACCCUCUUCUUGAUAUUUUGGCCUUGCAUAAAAUAAAACAAAUAAUCAUCAUAAUACAAAUUGACUUUCCACAAUUGCACCUGGCGGCGUAGAAUUUCCUUUUCAGAGCAAAACACGGGCAAAGUAAAAGUAGUAAACCAGUGAGAAUUAGGUAGACAAGGCAAGUACCACAGGCGCGCACAAUGUGGACGCCUUCUAUCAAACAGUCAACCGAAUUUCCAGAUCCCUUAUUCCCGUGUUUAUGUUAAUCAUAUCAUUAUCAUCAUCAUAGCAAUUAUCACCAUUCAUCCUCACCUAAUCUCUUUCUUCCGUUUCCUCCUCUCAAUCGAACGCUGAAAAAAACCAGAGAGGAAUCAAGAGGAGGAAGCCAUCACCAAGAAGUUGAAUCUUCCA
rnacentral:lncRNA from 1 species